AAAAAAAAACUCUAAAAAUGCACUCGACAUUCAGAUAUGGUUAGACUAGAAUGACAUGUUUCGGGCUGCGAUUCGUCCCUCAGCCUAUACAGUAGCCCUUAACAAGAUAAUAGAUGAUUGAGUUGGCCUUUUUACGCAAAGCCCAUACAGCGCCCGUAACAAAAUUCCAGGGCCCAUACAUCAAGACCGCUCAUCUUCGGUUCAUAACUAUGGACGGCCCAGAUACGGUUUAUCAUCGUCCGCCUAGAUUCACGUUCUCACAGCCACACGUGAUAAUUCCCCAUGGCACGAAAUUUGAAUUUCAAAUCGGAUCCAUCCAUUUAUUAAUUAUUAAACCGAAAACAAAAUUAAAUAGCGCCUUUUUAUUUUUAAACGGUCCUAUUUUCGGCCUUAAACGGCUCUCUUGUUACACACACUCUCUCUCUGCCUCCCUCUGCCUCCGCUCAAUUUUUCAAAAUCCUCAUUUCUCGCUUCUCCCCCCUUCGCACAAAAUCUUCCAUCUGCUUUCAAUCUUUCAUCAUCUCUUGGAGCGAUACUUCUCGGGAAUUUUCUGGAUUUCGAAGCACUUCCUCCAUCGUCCUCCUUCGACGUUCAACCUGCUGCGGAGCACUUUCUUUUUUCCCGCUGUGAUUUGUUUCCAGGUAGGUUAGAUGAUGAACUUCCUAUUUUUCCUGAUUUUUCUGUUGUUUUUGAUGUUUUCCUUGUGUUCUAAUGAUUUCCGUGUCUCUAGCAAGCAAUUAGGAGGAAAUUUGUGUCAUGUAGGGUUAGAACAGAGGAAAAGAGCAAAUUAUGAGUCUGCUAAUAUCAGGAUUCUCUCCAAUUUCUCGAUGUUUCAUCGAAUAUUUGGUGGUUGGAACUAAUUUAGAAGUAAAUCUACGUUAAUUUGUUGAACUUUCUCUAGUUUCGUCGUUGUCUAGCUGAUGAAUGUCAGAAAUUCCGAGCAAAUAUGCAGCAUGUAGGGUUGAAACAGAAGAAAAGAGCGAACUCUGAGUUUUGUAAUGUUAGGUUUCCGUCCGAUUUCUCAAUGUUUUAUGGAAUAUUUGGCUGGAACUUGGAACUAAGCAAAUGUAGCUUAAUUGAUUGUCGAUUCUUUAGCUAGGGCAACAAGUAAUUUAGUUCUGGGUUUUGGGGCCUUCUUUAGCCAAUCAGACAUCUUGAAAAUGGAAGUUGGGCAGUAAAUUUGAGGAAGAAUUAACAGGAGGUGGUAGGAAAUUUUAGUUUUACAGGCAAAGGCGUUAUUAUCCUAGAACAAUGUGAUGCCGAGUCUCAAUUGAUCGGCGAGUCUUGAUUGUAUAUUUUGCUUGGUAUCUUAUGAUAUACACUUUGUUUCUGGGGCAGGUUAUUGAUUGGAGUUAUAGGUCCCCAACAACAUGUCUCCUGUACAAAAAGAUCCAUCGGUUCAGGCUGAGACAACUUGUGGUACUCUUUUAUCAGAGUUGCAGGUAUGUUAGUUGAAUCCGUGUCCUUCAGUUUGUUUUGAGUAUGAUGGUUACUCUGGGUAUUUAUUCUCUUACACAUUGGUGCUGGCAAUCAGAUAAUCUGGAAUGAAGUUGGUGAGUCUGAUACUGAUAAGGAUAAGAUGUUGUUUGAACUCGAGCAAGAGUGUCUGGAAGUGUACAGAAGAAAGGUGGACCAGGCAAACCGUAAUAGGGCGCAUCUAAGGCAGGCGAUUGCUGAUUCUGAAGCUCAGCUUGCAGCAAUCUGUUCUGCCAUGGGCGAACGACCAGUACACAUUAGGCAGGCUGAUCAAACCAGUGAAAGUUUAAAGGCAGAACUUCAAAAGAUUCUUCCACAACUUGAGGAAAUGCAAAAGCGUAAAGUGGACAGAAGAAAUCAGUUCGUUCAAGUUCUUGAAGAGAUCAGGAAAAUUUCAUAUGAGAUAAAUGAAACAGCUGAUGAUGGUUUUGUUAACGAGAGUGAUCUUUCCUUGCGGAAGCUGGAAGAGUUGCACAAGAAACUCCAAGUACUUCAAACUGAAAAGGUCAGAAGAGUAGCUUCUGUGCAUCUGCAACUCUCAUAUUUAAUGUCUGGUCACUGAAAUACCUUUUUCUUUCCUUUGCAGAAUGAUCGCUUGAAACAGGUCAAAGAGUAUUUAGAUACAGUCAACUCCCUAUGUCUGGUACUUGGUAUGGAUUCGAUGCAGACGAUUGCUGAAAUUCAUCCAGAAGCGAGUAAUACUGAUGUAUCAAAGAGAAUCAGUAAUGACGCCAUCAAAAUUUUAGCUACUGCUAUUCACAGAUUGCGAGAGGUCAAACUACAAAGAAUGCAGAAGGUAAUGUAUGGAGGUUGGUGUUGUAUAAUUACAACAAAACAAUAAACAGUGUUAGCUAAUUUGUAUCAAUAUCUUGUGGCAGCUUCAAGAUCUUGCAACUGCAUUGCUGGAGCUGUGGAACUUGAUGGACACCCCUAUAGAGGAGCAGCAAAGAUUCCAGAAUGUUACAUGCAAUAUAGCUGCAGCAGAACAUGAGAUAACUGAACCAAACACACUCUCCUUGGACUUCGUAAACUUUGUGAGUUUUGAGUUUUACUUGUUUGUUGUUUCUUUUCCUUCUCUGUAUUUGUUUGAUGUUAUGUGUAGAUAAUCAAAAUCAUACAUGUAGGUUGGAGCAGAAGUCUCUCGGCUGGAGGAGUUGAAAAUUAGCAGGAUGAGAGAGCUAGUUCUGAAAAAGAGGUCAGAGCUGGAAGAAGUCUGUCGGAAGACACAUAUGAUCCCAGAAGCAAAUACAGCGUUAGAUUGUGCCAUCGAAGCCAUAGAGUCCGGUAACUGGCUUGCUUUCCUUCGCCAUUGGGAUGCCAAAUACAUAAUUGGUUUCCUAAUGCUUACUGACUGUUUGUUACGCAUCUUAAUACAGGACAAAUAGACCCUGGAAGUAUCCUGGAGCAGAUUGAGUUUCAAGUUGCCAACGUGAAGGAAGAAGCAUAUAGCAGGAAGGAAAUACUUGACAAGGUUGAGAAAUGGAGAGCUGCAUGUGAGGAGGAAUCUUGGCUUGAGGAGUAUAAUAGGGUAAAGUGUAGUUUCCUCCUUUGUCCUUCCAUCCAGAUCUUUUCUUCUAUUUUCUUGCUUAUUUAACUUUCUAUUAUACAGGAUGAUAAUAGAUACAAUGCUGGAAGAGGUACUCAUUUGAUUCUCAAGCGGGCUGAGAAAGCUCGUGCUUUAGUCACCAAAAUUCCAGGUGAACACCUUUGUUGAGAUACCUAUUGACAGCAAAAUGUGGCACAACUUGUGCCGUCAUCAUGAUGUUCUUGCUAUGAAUUGAAUAUUCUGACUUUUUGUUGUUGUUUUAUCAAGGCAUGGUGGAGGCUUUGGCUUCAAAAACAAUGGCAUGGGAAAAGGAGAGGGGCAUAGAGUUCCUAUACGACGGUGUAAGUCCCCUGUGUUCCUUUUGUUCUAUAUAUUAGCAAUCACCAUAGAUCUCCGUUGAUUCUUUCAGUUUCUUGUUGGCCUUAAUGUUGAUCCUCUAUGGUUUCAGAUUCGGCUACUUUCCAUGCUUGAAGAGAAUACCAUACUACGGCAAGAGAAAGAGGAAGAAAAGAGAAGGCAGCGGGUAUGAAUCUUUUUCCAAACUUGUCUGGCUAAAGCUUUGUCUUCAUGAAUAGGCUCUGAUCUGAUGACUUUUUAUAAUUUGAUCAUAAUUUUCUCCUUUUAGGAUCAAAAGAAGCUACAAGGACAGCUGAUAGCAGAACAAGAGGCACUUUACGGGUCAAAACCAAGCCCUUCUAAGAAUAUAAGUAUGAAAAAGGGAUCUAGAGUUUCAAUGGGAGGUGCGGGUGCAGCAAGCAGUAGAAGACUCUCGGUCGGAGGAGCUGUGCCGCAAACUCCAAAACUCGACAAGACGCUCUCUAGCCAAACACUGAACUACCGAUCUGCCAAGAAAAUCAACCACAAUGACACCCUAAGUCAGUAUCAGGAUGAUACAUUCUCUACCUAUUCAGCUGGUUAGUACCUUAGGCAAUGCAAAGUAGUUCUCAUUUGGCCUCUCAGAUGAUUUUAUUUCUAAACAAUUUUUUUUCAUUUCACUGCUUUCUCUUGCUGAAGAUGAUAUUAGUGAAUCCGACUACUACUAAUGGCUCACCAAUCUUCAUCGGGUUUCUGCGGAAAAAAACUUCAUCUGGGUUCUUCAUUCACAAUUUUCUCGUUUGUUGAAGUAGGUCCUCUCUUUAAAAAAUUUUGAAACUUUUUACUCCUAGAAAACGGUAAGAGUCUAGAUGCAUAUCUUUCAGGUUACUUGCGAUGCAAGCAAGAUAUACUGAUUUUCCUUCAUAUCAACUGAAUUUGCAGGUAGGAGAGGCUUGGGCUUGGAUGUAACUGGUUUCCCAGUUAAAGCUCAAUCCUUUGGUGCUGCAAAUAGCCGUGAUCCCGAUCCUGCAAUGCUGCGUAAGCCGUUUUCUCCAAUAUCUUCUUCCACGGCAUCAUCAAAAACCAAUGUGUUAGAAGACAAUGCUGCAUUGAAGAAGGCAGUAAUCCCACCAUUAAAAGACCAGUCUUUCACCACACCAGCAAAGACUACUGCUGCUAUUUCCUCCAUGGCUGAUGAAGAAAACAGAACUCCAAAGGUGCUGCCGAUGAUAAUGCCUGCAAUUACACUCUCCACACCUUCCAUCCCAAUGCAGACCGCCAUGACUCCAGCAGUUUUAGUAGCUCCUUCAGCUCGAAUUCCUUUCGGUGGUGGUAAGUCGUUCGAAGAGACGGUUCCUGAAGAAAUCGAGUACUCAUUUGAAGAACGAAGAGCUGGAUUUGUGGUGCUUCCGCAGAUAGCACACGUAAAGAAGGCGCUGAUACAAGUUUAGAUAUGGCAUCAGCAUUAGUUUCUCUUUUAGAUGGCAGUUGUAGGUGAACUUUUUUCAAGGAAGUGCCCUCUAACUUCCAACCCAUGGUUUCAAGUAAGCUUUGUAAUUGCUUUGUGGUGAUUGUAUAUCGAGUCUACGAGAUAUGUAGACGAAAGACGAAAAUUGUUUGAAUUGUGAGAUAUAUUUGAAUUCUGGUAGUUGAAUCUGUUGUUUACAGAUUCUUCUUCUUUCUGAUAACCAAACAGAACCGAGCUACAAGAUUCAUACAAUAUGUCCAAAUCGUCGACAAAACAGAACAAAAACUGAAGGAAACCCUAUUCAGUUACAUACUCUAGGUGCGUCCUCUGUCACAAAAUUUAACAACCGGUUUCGUACCAGAAGACCCUUUGAGGAAGUAGUUGAGUACCGGGAAAGGUACAUCAUUGCAGAGCCACCGCCAGGCCUAAUGGGCAGCCGACGAUCAAGGACUUCAAUCUCGUAAAUGGAGAGGGUUGAUCUUCAAGACAGCCAGAGAUAUCUAUCUCUAAGCAUCCGGACUGUACCUGAAACCCAACACAAGAGAUGUUGCAUUACUCACCCCGUGGAACAAGGGAAUCAAGUGUUCCUUUCUAUACUCAUUCUCAUCCUCGUACUCGCAAUCGUCCUCAUCCGCAAACUCAUACUUGUACUCAUCAUCAACCCAAAUGUCAGCAUGAUCGAGGGAAGGAAGGGUCGGCUCCGAGAAUUCCACGAUGCGACGACUGGGACACUCGAGAUCCAAGUACUUGAGUUUCGGUGCGUGUAUUUCCAUCCCGAGGAAACCAUCGUAUGAGAGACUGGGACUAAGCAGCUGGAGGCCGGAAAUCCUGAGUCUGGGAUCACCUUUACUACAGCCAAUGAUGUAGAAACUUGACAAGGAAAAAUCUUUCAGGCAUGGGAGGUUAGCAAAAGGGUCGAUUAAAACUUCUCCCUCACAAGCAACGAACACACACCUUACCAAGUCUAAUUUCUGCAGCACCAUGAAACCCGAAGAUCGAAAUCUAUUACCGAAGCUAAAAGAUCUUAGUUCUAGAGCUUUCAGACUGUAAUUUUCAGAACUGAAUCCAAGCAAAUCAGUAGAUGGGAACUCCGAUGGAGUUCUACACACAUUCGAAUCUAAUCGAAUCCCUAAAUACUGAGUUUCAUAGGACAAUGCGUAUCUGAUAACCCUCGCCAACAAGCUAUUUUCUCCUAACUCAUCGUCCGUCAAUGGUUUCUCUAACUUGUCACUGAAAAUGACCUUGCUUUCAAUGGAUAGCGGAGCGACAUCUCCUUUUCUACGUACCUUUUGAAACUGGGGGGAGAGGAGCUGGGAUGCAAUUGAAAAUGUGUUGAAUGCAGCGAAGAACAGACGGAGUUAAAAGAAAGAUCGUUUCGAGAUAAUUGAAACGACGAGUUUCAUUUUCCGUCUAUUUUCUCUGUUGAUGUAUGAACUAAUGACACGUGUUUUAUCCGCGUUUAUAUUUUCAUUUUUACUGUUCUUGUUAUUGUUGAGGUUGGUAUAAAACCCAACCAGCUGAAUAAAUCGAUUAUCACUUUCAGAGCCUUAAACAUUUUUCUCUGCUUCUUCCUUCUUUUCUGGAAAUCGAUCGUUUCUCCGAUCAAUUUGUUAAAAUGGAGAAUAUAGAGGUGUUUUCAGGUGCGAUUCCAUCGCCGGAAUAGUACUGAGGUCUGAACAGCUGUUUUGAUGUCGUCGAGGAACGAAAGGAUGCGAUGAAUGACAGCCUCCGGUAGAUUGCUUAAGCUGUCGAUUGAAGAAUCAUCUCCCCCUUCUCCCGAUUGGGUUCUUCCAGCUACCUGAUUGCUCAUACUUCUCCAAUGGAAAUUGCAAAGCUGGAUUUGUGCUUCAAGUUCAGAUAUGGCGGCAUUAGUUUCUCAUUUACAGUGGUUAUUAGCAUUUGGCGUACUGUAUGUUUUCAUUUUGUACUAAGUAGUCCCAUAUUGUUUCAAAAAAAUCGAUUCGUAGUAAACAUUUCAAAACCUAACAAAUUAGUACUAUCCCUACUUUCCUCCUCGACUCCCUUUUCUGGCAAAUCACAUCUCGUCACCAUGAUUAUUAAGAAAAAAUGAGUUCCACCUUAUUUCGCGACCCCAUGGGGUUGAGUACUUUUUGUUCUUUUAGAAAUUACGAUUAGAAGUAUCGAGAUAACAAAUUAUUUUACCUAAAAAAAAGGAAGAUGGGUGGGAUUGGCUUUGGCUGGAGGGAGAGGAAGAGAAUAUAGAACUAGAGUAAUUUUGAGAUUAAGUGAUAAAUGCAGAAAGUAAGUCAAUUUAAAAAAAUUUAAUAUUUUAUAGAAUAUGAAUUAUUAUUGAAUGAAUAGUAUUUGGUUGUCUUAUGAGGAUUUUAUUUUGAGUUUAUUAAAUAAUGUUUGGUUUUCUUAUGAGAGGUUUAUUUUGAGUUUAUUNNNNNNNNNNNNNNNNNNNNNNNNNNNNNNNNNNNNNNNNNNNNNNNNNNNNNNNNNNNNNNNNNNNNNNNNNNNNNNNNNNNNNNNNNNNNNNNNNNNNNNNNNNNNNNNNNNNNNNNNNNNNNNNNNNNNNNNNNNNNNNNNNNNNNNNNNNNNNNNNNNNNNNNNNNNNNNNNNNNNNNNNNNNNNNNNNNNNNNNNNNNNNNNNNNNNNNNNNNNNNNNNNNNNNNNNNNNNNNNNNNNNNNNNNNNNNNNNNNNNNNNNNNNNNNNNNNNNNNNNNNNNNNNNNNNNNNNNNNNNNNNNNNNNNNNNNNNNNNNNNNNNNNNNNNNNNNNNNNNNNNNNNNNNNNNNNNNNNNNNNNNNNNNNNNNNNNNNNNNNNNNNNNNNNNNNNNNNNNNNNNNNNNNNNNNNNNNNNNNNNNNNNNNNNNNNNNNNNNNNNNNNNNNNNNNNNNNNNNNNNNNNNNNNNNNNNNNNNNNNNNNNNNNNAUUUUAACUUCAUUUAGCCAUUAUUUACAGAGGUUAUUAUAGUGAAACUUGAUUUUUUAAUCAUUUCAAACAUGUAUAUUAAAUAUUAUCCAAUUUUGAAAUUUUCUUCUGAAAAUAGUCCAUUUUCUUUAAAUAACACACGUGAUAUGAAAAUUUUCAAUUUUUCAAAUUGAUUAAUAUUUAACAUGUAUGUUGAGAAUGACUACAAAUUGAAAUUUCACCAUAUUAAACCCUUCAAAUAAUAGUCAAAUAAUUAAACCCAAUUCUGUCGAAUUUGAGGAUUCAAUUCUGUGUAAUUCCAACCGUCGAAUUCUGCGUAAGUAGAAUAAAGAAACAGAUUCCUAGUCUUUAGACAACAUCAGUUGUGGAACCUCAACAAUUCAUCUCAAAUCCUUACCUACCUUAAACUACCAUGACAAAAGAACUCAAGAACAACAAUCAAAUGUGCAAUUUACAAAAACACAUUACACAACCACAAAUCAGUUCUUUGAACAAGAAGAUUCAGCAACAUCCUCAUCAUCAUCCAACAUCAGUUCCGAAAAAUCCACGUCAUCCUUGACCAUCAUUUUGCCCUUAUCCCCCGAGCCGCCACCAUCGAUGACUCGACUCAGUCUCUCCACCCACACUUCAUACUCAACAGGGUAAGGAGUUCCUGAAAGGCUAUCAACAUAGUCAGCAAACGCCUUCAAAAUCGGCGAAACCUCACCGAGCUCUCGCUGGAUCAAUCUCUCCCCCCAGCUCCUCUCCCUCCAUUGCAACGCCGAUUCGAUCGAAUCGUGCUGCAUUGUCCCGCUUCUUCCACAGACGAAUAAUAAUACGUACACGAGACUCUCGGCAUCAGAUGAUGGACAUAGCUUCCCGUUCUGAAGCGCAUAGGACGACGAAAAUUGUAAAUUUAUUGCUGCACCAUCCUUCUCCUCCAAUACUGCUCGCCCCCAUGAGAUCGCCAAGUAGGAAAAUCUACCUUGUCGAUCAUGAAACCGAACGAUAUUCUCGGGACAGAUGUCACCAUGUAGGACAUUGGCAGAUGCAGCAGUACCUAACCCAGCAAGGCAAUCUCUACAGCAACGGAUCGCCUCUUGAGAUCGAAAGGCUCCAUCUUUCGCGACAAUGAACGAUAUCGGCUCCCCUAAAGGAGACGUCACGAGUACCGGAGUGCCACAAAUUGGAUGGUCACACGUUCCACGAGGGUUCUGUCUCGUGCAUUGACCGGAAUGCAACACUCGACCGGAUGAAACUUUCUCCGGAAGGCAUCUGUUGUGAAAAGAUCCUUUCUUUUUCAAGAUGUUCAAUACUUUUGUCUGUCUUUGUACUUGAUACCAUAGACUCAUGUCUUCCCAGCAUGGCUCGAGUUUCGAGGGAUGUGCUCCGACGUAUAAAGUCAGUAGCUUUUCUGGAGAAUCCAGCUCAACUGCACUGUAAAGGAAAUGAUUCCCUCCGACUGAAGAUUCCUGGAUUUGGAAUCUUUUCGGACCUUGCUCCUGAUCAUCCACCACUAGCAUUUCUCCCGGUCGAAGCUUCAAUCUUUUCGGAGUAUAAACCUCUACGAUCUCAUUUCUGAUCUCUGAAGUGGACUCAUUUCUGAUCUCUGAAGUGGACUCAUUUCUGAUCGAAGUGGACUCAUUUCUGAUCACCUGACGUUCGAUUUUUCGUUUCUGGACCCUUAGACCAUGCUCCGACGCCAACAAAGAUACUGACUUCUUAGGCGAGCCGAUCGAUUCCACCAUUGAGUAGAAAGUUGCUAAAAUCACUUGCAAAGUCCCUAUAUCUCCCCAGUUCGCAUUACCUAGCCUGUUCCACACCUGAUCAACCGGCGAAACUCGAAUUUCGGAAUGGCACUUGAUCCAUUCGGUUACAGAGUCGUAAGGAUCAUCGGUAUGGUUCAGCUCGAGUUGACUCAGAUCGCCUUCGAUCUUCACCAUGCCGCCAAAUGUUGAGUCACAAACCAGAAUGUAAACAAAAGAUCUGCUGCCAGCUGUAAUACUUAGCUUGUUCCUCAAGCUUCUAGCAAGAAGUAUAUGAACACCGAAAAAUAUGGCUUCACAGAUGAUCCCUGGAGAUAGCUUCAGUUCUUCAUUAUCGGACAGUAUAUUCGGUCUAAACAAGGUGAACUCAAUCACUUGGUGCCAAUGUGAAUGAUCCUCAGAUUUCAAUACGAGUGCCACACCUUGGAUCUCUUCGAGCCUUCCUCUAGAAGCAGCUGUCUCUACAGAAGUAUAGAAUUUCGAUCCGAGUUUACGUGGACACGAUAUGCUAAAUGGAGAUGGUCGACUUUUGUGCCAAAAUGUACGCCACAGACCGUUCAUUACCGCGUGGAGGAAGUCCUCGAUCGCGAGAUAGUGGCCUUCUUGUGUAUCGUUAGACGAAUGAGUAGUGGAGCAAGGCAUGCGGCAUAGUUGCUUGAAAGGGACUCCUUCCAAUGCUAAGUCAAGGUUCAGUAAUUCAUCAAUGGAGAAGGGAGACCUGAAUAUUUCGGAUUGUGAAUCUUGUUGAGUGUUUUCGGAAACCCAGGUUUCGAGUCGAUGUGUGAAGAGAUCGAGGCUGAUGAGGUUUCGUGCACACUCCUUCAGAGCCUUGGACAGUCUUCUGGAGCUAGGAAGUGAUUUGCUUGUAGUGGAAAGAUCCGAUAAACUCCUUCCAGAUAACACUGCAGUUGUAAAAGAAUCUUUCCAAGUAAACUACAUAGGCUUAUGAGGAUGACACGACAUUCGAAUGAAGCAUACUAUAUCAGAUAUGAAUGCUCGAGUUAUGUUAUGGACGAUAUGAACUCUAGACUCAUAUUUAUCCAUUAGAAUGACAAGUGAUGAGGUAGUGCGACAAACCAGAGCCUGAGAUCCUGAAACUACCAUCCAAACUUCUUCCAACGGACGAAUCCAAGUCAUUGUGCUGCGACAGACCUGAAAUAGCAAAGAGGUUACUCAAAUACACAGCAAUGAGCUAUAACUGUAAAAUAUCAUUUCAGCCAGGAUGAGAAACAAACGAGAUAUGAUGAACUUAAUCGUCAAUCCUACUAAAAACUGACUGGCUGUAACAAGAAAUCAGAUGUCUAGCCACCCUCUUAUGAGAUAACUGUUUGGACUUUUAAGCAGACAAACCAAUUUAGUAGCAGGAAAGUGGUAGAAGUUGGAAGAACUACAGCAGAGUCAAAGACAAACUCAUGAAUCAAUCAUCUUCAAUAGUCCGGAAAUGGCAAGUACUUCUCUACAAAAGUAUUCUGAUUUUAGCAUUCCUAGCUUUGAGCCAUACAUAAACAAAGGGAUUGGCCUACUGGCAAAGGUCGAACCUUCGAGCAACAUCAUUUUGAUAAUUCAGAAGACAUAUAUAUACCUGUUCUGGUCUUCCUAAAACUUCCAUUCAAGCCUUCCCUAAGUGACACACUGGCAUCGUUUUCUUGCAAGCCUGCAUUAUAGCAGCCUUUAGUACAUAAAGACUGAAACUAUAAGCAUGGUUAGAACAAAGGAAAGUACAUAAACUCCAGAUAUGAAAUGACUUCACUGCACAAGCUGUAUAGCUGUGCUAUAAAAAUUCUUACGGCAACGGCGCUAUAAAGAUAGUAAUGCAUUCACUAUCUCCACUCAUCUUGCAUACUAACUAAACGCAAAUCAAGCUCCUAUUUCACCUGCGAACUUUCCAUAAACGGUGAACUUCAUAGCAGUGGAUCCUAACUAAGUAGUAAAGCCUUAGAUUUGAGAAUACCACUGGUAAAGCACCACGAACUUGUAGCUACAACUGAAAGCAACCCAAAGCUGGAAAUGAAGAAAGACGGAGAAUUUCGACUUACCCAUUUGGUUUCCGCCGAGAUGGGAUCCCCAAAAGGAACAAGGUCAAGAAAAGAACCCAACUUUCACAGCAUUUUGAGAUUCGAAGCAUUGCAAUGGCGGCAUCUUAGGGUGUUGCAGAGGAACAUUUUCAUUGGGAAGCCGGAGAAAGAAAGGAGGAGGAAGAUCAGAACAAAGGAAUAGAGUUAUUAAUCGAUUGCUGUGUUGUUGGUCGCAUUCUUGAAGCUGAAGAAUUUUGGAAAGUCAUGGGAGGCAAAAUCAUUAAUAUGUAUCAUCAUUAAAUAAAAAGAAAAUGAAGGGAAAUGGACAGCGUGGAUAAUGGCAGAAAAAAGAAAAAUCAAAACUAAUAAAUAAGCAAUUUUCAUUGAGCUGCGUGUAAAAUUGAUUAUGAACGACAAAAUGAUAAAUUUUCAUUCAAGACUCCAGUUUGACCAAAUUUCUGGGUCAACUCAACUUCUCUUACCUUUUGGCUUUUCAUCUCUCCCAUGUGUACUAAUUAAAUGAAAUUUACAAAAUUAAUCAAAUUUUUAAAUUUUUUAGUUCAUCUAGUCCAUUUUUAUUCUUAAAACAAAAUGUAUUUUAAAGCUGAGGGGGCUUUAGCCAUUAUUUUAGCGCUCGACUUGCGGCUCGGCCGAUGGUGUUGUUUUCGCAGGACCCCUCGCCGCAGUGUUGUUGGUGUGAGCUUGGUUUAUGUUAGUGGAUGCAGUUUGUGAUGGUUGUACAGUAACAGCUAUGGUGGAGUUGUUUGUUGUGCGGUGAUUGUGGUCUUGUUUGGUGUGGUUGUGGUAGGAUUUUUAGCGAUUAGGGCCUACAUGACAUGAGUGGUGGUUAUUGGGUGGGUGCGAUAUUAGCCAUCGGGGUUUUAUCGACGGGGCCAUAUGAUUGGGGUUGUAAGAGGGCGAUGGUGGUGUUGGUGGAUGGUGAAAAAAAUCCUAGGGUGCUCUUCUAAAAAAGAGGAAAAUAAAGGUCUCAAGCGGAGAUGAAAACUUGCAGAAAGAUUUUGACACCGCGAGUGUAACUUUUUGUGUUUGAUUAUUAGAUGUUCUUGUGUUUGAUAAUGAUUUUUUAAUUAAUUGAUCAUUCACUUAAAAGAUCACUUGAUUAUUAGCCAAGUAAACUUCAGAAUAGUGUUGUUGAUGAUUUAUAUAUAUUAAGUUCGAAUUCAGUUAUAUUCUACAAAUAAACAAUUAUUUUAUAUUUAUAUUUUCUUUCUGGACAUCUUCACUUUAUUUAUUUUCUAAUUAAUAAAAACUCUAGAAUCUUCCGCUCCAUCAAUUAUUGCAACUAGGAAAUUGCUUGUUUUCUAUACCUACCUUCUCCAACACGUAAUUUAUAAGGUAGUUGACCUAAUAGAAUAUACAUAUGCGGUAUUUUACAUAUUUAAGUCAAUUUCUUUAAUCCAAUUUAAUCGACCUUUUCUAUAUAUUUUGACUAAUUCAUAUGGUACUUAGUUUGUCGUACUAAAGUUAAUUGUCUAAUGCAUAUCGUGAUCAUCCAAUUAUGAUUCACUAAAACUUAACUAUCGCAUCUUCACUUUCAGAAACAGAAAAAUAACAACAUUUAGGAUAAUAUUCAAGUUCUAUAAUAAUUCAUUUUCAAAGAUCUACAAACAUAAUUAUAACAACAUCGAUGAUAAAUCCAUCAUUGGUGUUGAUAAGAGGAAAGCUAAAUUUGUAUGUUAUUAAUUAUUAAAAUGAUUAAAUUAUUAAGGCAUUCAAUAUAAAUUUGUUUCUAUCCAAAUUUGUAUGUUAUUAAUUAUAAGAGCAUUUUCAUCCCCAAAUUCUAAAAUUUAUAUCUGACUCUCGUUGAGACGAACCUGAAUGACAAACUAUUUGUGGACUGUGUCUUGAAGAAAAUGAAGGCUGACGGGAUAUAUAUGAACAAUGCAAUGGCUGCAAUACUUCAUGUGUGUAGCGCAUUUCAGACCAAGCAUUUUAUAAGAAUGCAUGAAACCUUACAGUCAUUGCAUUGUUGGGAUGGAUCCUGUCAGCCUUCAUCAUCUUCAAGACACGGUCCGCAUGCAGCUUUGCGUUCAAAUACGCAUCAACAAGAGUCAGGUAUUGAGUCCGGCAAGCUAGAUGUCCAGCCUGCCUCAUCUCAGACAUUAUCUUUUCGGCAUUGUGGACAUUAUAUACCUCAUGUCAAUUACCUCUCUCACAACUCUUCGACGCUAAAUCGCGUAAUACUGACUCAACCUUCUCGAUUUUCCCCACAUUUAGGUAGAGCUCUACGAGGGAGCUCCACGUAUAUGGCCCUAUAUAGCAGCUCCUGCCGACCAUCUUUUCAAAGAGUUCCUCACCCUUGACCAGCAUACCGUGUUUUGCAUACACAUUCAUGAGCACGUCAUAAUAUUGCGAAGAUACAAUGACCAAUGUCGACAUCAUGUUCACGAACACCGUCUCGGUCUCGCUUACUAGCUUUAGCUUCCCGAAAGCAAAAUACUUGUGUUUGAAAUCAAAUACAAAUAUUUAAGGUCUCGUUUAGUAUGAGAUAUCUUGAAUAAUCAGUUAUUUUUAUGUUUUUUUUUGUAUGUUAUUGAUAUCAAGUUUUGGAAGAUUAAAAUAUGCUUGUUUGAUAUAUAACAUUAAGUGGAAAUAGAAUUUUACAAGACUAUUGUUGUGGAAAUAAUUUAUAUCUAAAAUGUUAGGAAGGUCGAAGCUAAAAUUAAAUAUACAUUAGUUCUGUUCCCGCCCUAUGUUAGUAUAUCUAUUUAAUAUAAUUAAAUUUAAUCCAACUAAAUCGAAACCGAUUUUAUCGAACCAAACAAAUGAUUCCUUAUCUGUUUUAUGACUUCGGUAGAUUUUUAGCUUGUAUUAUUUACUUUAUUUUCUCUUGUUGGGAAUUAUCUACAAAGGGGAAAAAAACUUAAAUUGGUCACUCAAUGAAUCUAUUGAUUUGCUAGCCUAACUAAUACCAUUGUCUCAAAAUCUACUAGUAUCCCGAUACGUCCAUAUUAGUAGUGUUUGUAAUUGAAGGCUAAUUUAUUGGUAUAAUAAAACUGUGAUCAUAAUAAUUAUUGACCAUGUACACAUUAAGGAAUUGGGCUUGAUGGGUUAUCCACGUAUAGCAUGAAGGGACUGAAUUGGGCUGUAAGGAAAGGCUAACGGACCAUGACGGACAGAAAGAAGCCCAUCAAUCAUAUAACUUACAGGCCCAUUAAAAUACUCAAAAGCUGAGAAAGAGCGUCUGACUGAACCUACAGUAGUAAUCGUCAGGAGAAUCAAUUUCAGCUGGAGAAAUCUGAAAUCUCCCGUCCGUCAACCUCCGGUGGAAAAGUUUGGGAAGAAUCCGGCGGCAUCAGAUUAGCGGAGAUGGAUAAGAAGGCGUUGUUUAGAGCUAAAUUGAAUGCUCAGAAGAAGGUCCAGCGAAUCGAUUCUCCUCUAGUCAGGUACCUCGCCUCUCUAGCUUGCCCGAAAUCUAAUCUCCGCUCGAGUUUGCUCUCCGCUUGACGAAUUUGAAAACCCUAGCAGUCUAGUAAUGGUGGAUUUUGUUGUAGUUCUCUAGUAGUUUAUGAAGGAUUAGAAUAAACUGUGUCUCAUGUGUGUUUGGCAUUCUACUUAUCUAAAUGGAAGAUGUUCAUCGUUAGUGUUUCAUCAUCUCUGAUUCUCCGGUAGUGUCAGGCCUUUUGCGAUUAGUGCAAACGUUGCUUGUGUUCAUCCUGGUUCUUAUAGCUGGCUUUUUGUGCUUUUUUAUGCAGGUAUAACGAGUCUGAUCAACCGGUUUGUAGAGUGUGCAAUUUUCUUUUGAAGGAAUCUCAAUGGGAUGCUCACCAAGCUUCUCGCAAACAUCGUGAGGUCAUAUCUUAGCUCCUAAUCUUUGCUUGCUAUGAUGUUCAAACUGUUUGUAUUUACAUAGAUUCAUCGAAAUGUUAUGCUAUACUUCACAUUGAAUGCCAUAUUGGAUGGUAGUUGCUUAUUGAUAAAGACUAUUCAACUUAAGGUUAUCAAAGCCUAGUGUGUAAUUGUCUCUCUUUUGUUACUAUAUUUUGAUUCAGUGGAAUUUUCUGGGACAGGCAAUAGAUAAACUAAAGGCUAAUGCAGCUGCGAAGACGAAUGCUACGAAUUCGAAACCGGAACCUCGUUCUGAAUCAACCAGAGUUGCAUCCACAAAAAGUGUAGAGUCUGCUACACAGAAAGCUGAUCCACCAACAAAGUCAUCAAAGCCACAGUCAUCAUCUGCACUUCCUCCGAACUUUUUUGAUAAUCAUGGGCCAAAGAGCCAAAGCACUGGUAUGGAUGUUUCUUUACUAUAGUCUGUAUAGUGUACUGUCCGAGAAAUUAGAUGGCUUGGUUGAGUUCUUGUACUUGAGCAUCGUUUUUACUCUGUUUUGAAGAAGGCCUGCCAUUUCCUCUCCCUUUCAAUGUUUUUUCAUUCAGACCAUUGAAUCAAUAUUGUUAUCUUUGCUUUCUUAACGUCAGUAUGACUGUAUGAGCAUUUUUGCAGCCUGUGAAAUUAAAACAAAGUCUAAAUUCAUUUUAGGUGCAAACUCUGACAAGGUGGCGGAUUCAGAUCCACAUAGCGAGUUAAAUGGUUCCCUUGGACCCAAAACUACUGAGCCUCUUCCAGAGGAUAAACCGGAAGCACAUUCUGCAGAGGUUGCUAGAGAGCAUACACAGUCCCAAACAGAUGUCACUCACUCGGAAACCAAAUUGGCGAAGGGGUCUCUCCCAGAAGGUUUCUUUGAUAACCAGGAAGCUGAUUUGCGGGCUCGUGGCAUAAAGAUUGUGAAGCCGGAUGUUAAGUGAGUUCUUUCUCACCUCUUUUAUAUCUUAAGUUUGUCCUUUUUCUGGCAUUGGUUUCAAGGUUAUUUAAUUCCAUAUAUAGGACUUGAAGCUUUUGUUUGCAUCUGGGAUGUAAAAUUAACAUCUUUGUCCAAGCAUGGUGUCUGAGUCUGAAUGAACGCUACAUCGCCUAUUUGAUGCAAUGAUUGAUUUCGUAAUUUUGGUCAGCUACUAAUUCCUAUCUUGCUUCUUGAACAACUGAUAUCUAAUUAAAUCUUUGGCAGGGAUGAGUACAAAGAAUUCGAGAAACUGAUCCAAGAAGACCUGAGGGAGGUAGACGACCGGUUAGAGGAAGAGGAGGUCAGUACUAUAGUUCCAAGCUUGUCAAUGCAAAAGUUAGCUACAUUAUGAUACUUGAUGAUUCUUCCGAGUCCUCCAACUGUCAUUUGAAAUCGGUUAAAUGUUUCUUGUCUCCAGAUUGAUGCAGCUGAGAAGAUCGAAGAAGCCGAGACUGUAGAGCAGAAGUGAGUUCAUUAACUAACAUGCAAGAAAGUUCAAUAUAAUUUUGCCUUCAAAACCUUUCUUCUAACUCGUGUGAGUCUUUCAGGACCUACAUGGAAAAGGUGGAAUUGCUGAAAAGGAGGAGAAUGGAGUUGGAAUCUGCCAAGUCAGCGAAACGGAGUAAAGGCAGAGGAGCUGGUUCGAAGGUCACGAAGAAAGAAUCCGGUGAUGAAGAAGAUUCUUCCAGCGAUGGAGACAGCGACGGCGAGGGUAAUUUCACAGUUGAUUGGAGAGCUCAACAUCUAUGAAUGAAGGGUGGAUUUCAUUCAUGACUGCAGCAAAGUUAGCAGGUGCUUCUCAAACUUUCAAAGUGUUUUGCUUGUUAUAUUUUCUGGAAGUUAAUUGACUGUGUUAGUUGAUGGUAGAUUCUGAUACAUAUCUAACAUGCUACCACCAAAUCCUAUGUAAAUUUUACGAUAAGAUUUCUAUCCAAAGACAAUCCAAAUUUAGAAAAAGUAAAUGGUACAUUUAAGUAUAUUACAGUUCAUAACCAAUUAGGAAUAAUUAAUGUUCAUCAUCAUCAUCAUCAUCGCACUCCAAAAGCGUGAUCAGUGAGAUGAAUUAUAGUAAUUAUUUAGUAACAGCAUGAUAAGAGCAGUGCUAAUUAGAUUUAGUGCUAACUAAACUUUGUUCUUGUGGCUUAAACACAGUGCUAAUCACUUUAUUGACAGAUUCCCAUCUGCAUGUCCCAAGUGGAGAUAAAAGUGUGGCUUUUCCCAAUCCACUUGUUGCUUACUAAGUAAACAUUCAUUCUUUUAUGAGUGACUCUUAGAGAUCAGUGCUGUUCAAUUAGUUAAGAGCAGUGGAUUAGGCCAUCACCUCACUUGUAAACAACCGAUCUCGUAACUAAACCGGCGGUCGAGACUACCCUACGCGAUCAUGUACGAUACAUUUGCAAGAUGAUUCAAUUGAACUUGACAAAAGUAUCAGUGGAGAAGUCACUGUGACGGAUGUGGUGCAAAAGGCGGGUACAGACCUGACGGGGUUGAAUUUCAUCAACAACAAAAAGGGACCCCUUGGCGGUGGCUCGAGUUGGUUGACUCCUGGUUCGGCCAUUGGAUAACGGGAUGGGUCAAGUAAGAAGGGGAGGGGCCAGGGGAGUAGUGCUGGUGUGUGAUCAGUUGUUAAUUCUGGAUUUUAAUGCAAUGUAGCUCGUAGCCACUAAUAGUGUCACUAAUUAAACUGAAAAUUAACAAAUUAAUUGUUUCUGAAUUAGAUCAGAACGCAGGCUUUGUUAUAUAAAAAUGGUUGAUAAGUGGACAGAAACUAAAGCAAAAGUCCAUCAAAUCCCUCAACUAAGAGUCAUUUAUUUGGCCAUUUUGCAGAACUGCAUGCCCUCUACAAUUUUCUAAUUCAUCACUAGUGUACGUAAGUAGUGGCAGUCUGACAGUGUUUCUGAGAGGGCCACUAAUUGUUUGCCUUGCCGUCCCACUAUCUUUAUCUUUAAUAGCGACUAGGUUCUUGCCUUUCGCGGCGGAGCUGAUUCAACGUACUGAUUCGUAGGUUUUAUUGUUGUCUGUACGUGUUGAAAUGUAUUAUAAAAUGAUCUGGUUCCCACAUAAAUGUUUAUGGUCGAAGUUAACAAAAUGCAAUUUAUGUAACGACGACUCAACAUGUUGAAAAUAAGUCAAUUUGAAAAAAAUUCAAUACUAACAUGACACCAAGUAAAAUUGAUUUUUAACUUCAUUUAGCUAUUAUUUACAGGAGUCAUUAUAGUAAAACUUGAUUUUUUUAGUCAUUUCCAACAUUCAUGUCAAAUAUUAACGGAUUUUAAGAUUUUCUUAUAAAAAUGGUCAAUUUUCCUUAGUAUAACUCAUGGAAAUUGACAAUUUUUAAAUGAAAAUUGAAUUUUUUUAAAUUAACUAAUAUACAUGUUAAAAAUAAUUAAAAUUUAAUAUUUCAUCAUAUUAAACACACUUCAAGUAAUAAUCAAAUGAAAAUAAAAAACAUUUGACAGUUCAUUAGAAAAACAUUGAACGGAAAUACACAUCUCGUGUUCAUUUGUGGGCUACAGUUAGAUACACCGGUAUUAAAAUACUUAAAUCAUCUCAUUUAACUCAUUAACUAAUAUUAAUUAUGCAUUCUAAUUUUGUUUGGGUUGUCCUUAAGUGGUUUAGAAAACCUUUUGCCCUUUUCCAUUGGCCUCCUUACGACAAAAGUUACUAUCCCUAUCUAUGAUCCAAUCAUUAUGCCACUGUCACAAAAUCAACGUGAUGAUUAUUCUUUUACCCACACAAAAGGCAAAUGAUUAGAUUUCAUGUACCAUAAAUAACUUAAUAACCCAACUUCCAUGAAUCUCAAAUGAUAUACCGCCUGGACUCAAAUUUCCUCUCGAACGAGAAAGUGUUUAAAAUUUUAAUCCACAUCCCGAUUAUCAAAUGGACUAUAAUAUUUCGAAUUUCUAAUGGAUGGAUAAGUUUGGAUUUGUACUAAAUCUGCAAUACCCUUCAAAAUCAACGGCCGUGGGCAGCCGCCAGCCAGCUUAACCGAUAACCAUGGACAGAUUAAUAUUUGAUUAUCAAUGGUCUGCGACUAUGCAUAUUAUUAAUUAUUAAUUAGGAUUAAUAACUGAGAUUUGAGGAAUAAUAAAUUUAAAAAAAGUACGGGAGAAAAAAGGACCGCCGCGUGCGCCUAUAAAUGCCAUCCCCGGAGAUCCCGCUGCCUCUGUGAAUCAUCACUGCAAACGGAAAUAUUUAAAUUUCGUUACCAUUUCAGUCUCAAUUUUUCACCACCGUCAUUUCCCUUUCCGGCCGAUUCGUUUUCCCAACCGUCUCCGUCCAUACACCCAAGCGCGCCAUUAAUCUACUUCCCCAAUCAACAUCAAACAAUCCAAUCCCCACUUUUUCCCCUUUCCCGCAUUGCUGGAUCUCGUGAUACUCCCAAUUUGCGGACACUCACACGUCACCCUUCGUCAUCCCCUCCCCGAUCCUUCUUAUACGCACUCCCUGAUCAGCUGAACUGAAAUUUGGGUAUUUGAAAUUAGACGUACAUUCAUACCUGACGAUGACAAGCGAGGAGACAGCGGCGGAGAGGGCGGUGGAGAGGGUGGAAAAGGAUGAGAAUGAGGCGGCGGCGGCGAGGGAGGAGGAGGAAGAGGAAUUUGAACUUCAGGAUGUGAGGGAGAGAUUGAGGAGAGGGAGCAGAUUCAAUCGGAUCGAAAGCGACUUCGAUUUAAGUAUACACCGCCGCCGCCGCCGCGGGGGCGGGGGCGGGAAGUGGAGCCACUGAGGGGGUGGGGCGGGCNNNNNNNNNNNNNNNNNNNNNNNNNNNNNNNNNNNNNNNNNNNNNNNUAAAUUAUCCCCCGCCGCCGCCGCCGCGGCGGCGGAGGAGAAAGCGGAAGCAGCGGAGGAGGAGGAUCUGGCCUGAGUACAAGGUUCAGCCGUCAGUCUCUGAUCGAUGGAUUCCAUCACGUCUCCACCGGUCUCGUCAUUCAUCCCGACAACAGGUCAAACUCUCCUCUUCCACUUCUCCCGCCUUUCUCCGAUUUGGGAGAAAAUCGUAAAUAGUGCUCGAAAUCAGGGGCAAUACAGUCCUUAACCAAAUCACAGAGCAAAUUUUCCUUUGGUCUGUUUGUUAAUACUGUAGACUUAAUUUGCAUAUCGAUUGAAGCUGUGUGAUUAAUAUUGCAGAUGGUAUCGAGCAUGGUCGAAGUUCAUACUGCUAUGGGCAGUGUACUCGUCAUUCUUCACGCCGAUGGAGUUUGGAUUCUUCAGGGGAUUACCUGAGAAUCUCUUCAUUUUGGACAUUGUUGGCCAGAUUGCUUUCCUUUUCGACAUUGUUUUCCAGUUCUUCAUCUCCUACAGAGACCCGCAGACUUAUCGUAUGGUCUACAAGCGCGCCCCCAUAGCUCUUCGGUAAAGUAAUUUUGAGCUCUUUCGAUUAUCCAAUUGUUCACCAAUCCUGAUUUUUGCUCAAGUCGUUCUUUUCUUGUUAUAACAGGUAUUUAAAAUCUCAUUUCAUUAUCGAUUUGCUUUGUUGCAUGCCUUGGGACAUCAUCUACAAGGUAAUUGCUUUUGUUUGCAGGUUUUGCAGUGUGGGUAUGAUUUGAAUUUCAUGUUCUGAUGAGAAACAUAUCAUCUUGCAGGCUUCUGGGCACAAGGAGGAAGUGAGGUAUCUUCUGUGGAUUAGGCUAUGGCGAGUGCGAAGAGUUACGCAUUUUUUCUACAGGAUGGAGAAAGACAUAAGGAUUAAUUAUCUCUUCACUAGAAUUAUUAAGCUGAUUGCAGUGGAGCUCUACUGUACACACACAGCAGCCUGCAUUUUUUACUAUUUAGCUACUACUCUUCCAGCUGCCAGUGAGGGUUACACAUGGAUUGGAAGUUUGAAGAUGGGGGAUUACAGUUAUGCGCAGUUUCGAGAUAUCGAGAUCUGGAAACGGUAUACCACAUCUUUGUAUUUCGCCAUUGUCACUAUGGCUACUGUUGGUGAGUCAUCAUCUUAGUUUCGAGCUUACGUUAGAGGUCGUUUUCUUUUCCUUUUUGGUAGUUUCUUAGCCAAGAUGACUUUUUUUGUUGUGACAGGGUAUGGAGAUAUACAUGCUGUGAAUAUGAGGGAGAUGAUAUUUGUGAUGAUAUACGUAUCGUUUGAUAUGAUCCUGGGAGCUUAUUUGAUUGGUAACAUGACUGCAUUAAUCGUGAAAGGAUCCAAGACGGAGAAGUACAGGGAUAAAAUGACGGAUCUCAUCAAAUAUAUGAACAGGAAUCGUCUCGGAAGGGAUAUUCGUAAUCAGAUUAAAGGCCAUCUUCGGUUGCAGCAUGAACGUAGCUAUACCGAAGCUUCUGUUUUGCAGGACAUUCCGAUUUCCAUUCGUGCCAAGGUUUUACUCUUAUUGAUUUUUCAUUUCGUUAUGAAACUAACAGUGUUUGAGUGCCAAGGUUUUACUCUUAUUGAUUUUUCAUUUUGUUACAAAACUAACAGUGUUUGAGUUUCUUGUUCGUGAAUCGUAACAACUUGCUUCUUCCUUGCAGAUCUCCGAAACUUUGUUCCUUCCUAUCGUUGAAAAGGUUUCUCUUUUUAAAGGAUGCUCUUCAGAAUUUAUCAAUCAGAUUGUACGUAUCCAUCUUUUCUUUCAUAAGAUUGUUGAUAUCAUAUCGUCGCUGCUAUAACCUAAGUAUCUCUUUGAUAUUACAGGCGGUUAGGCUCCAUGAAGAGUUUUUUCUUCCUGGAGAAGUGAUAUUAGAACAAGGAAGUGUAGUGGAUCAACUAUAUUUUGUUUGCCAGGGUGCUCUGGUAUAUAUGAAUCCACUUCUAUUGUUUCCAGUUGCUUCGACUUGAAAGAAUUAUUUUGCAUUAGAGCUUUGUAUUUGUGUUAUUCAGGAAGAGGUUGGGAUGGUAGAAGAUGGAUCAGAAGAGACAGUUUCACUUCUAUCACCAAACAGCUCCUUUGGAGAAAUCUCGAUCCUUUGCAACAUUCCUCAACCAUAUACUGUUCGAGUUUGCGAGUUAUGCAGACUUCUGCGACUAGACAAACAGGCUUUCUCGGACAUACUCGAGAUAUACUUCUAUGACGGGCGAAAAAUUCUGAACAACCUACUCGAGGUAUAUACAAUAUAUCGGAAUUCUGGUUGGAUUUUAGAGUUGAAAGUUUGUCUUGUUUUACUUCUAAGUGUUGAAAAGAAAACUAUGCAGGCGAAGAAAGCACCGAUCCGAGAUAAGCAACUGGAAUCGGAUAUCACGUUUCACAUUGGAAAGCAAGAAGCUGAACUUGCUUUAAGAGUAAAUAGUGCAGCUUAUCAUGGGGAUCUUAUCCAACUAAAGGGCUUCAUUCGCGCCGGAGCCGAUCCCAACAGAACUGAUUACGAUGGCAGAUCACCAUUGGUACACAAUCUGAAACCCUAUGCUCUUUUGGCUUAGCUUGCACACCAAGAAACAUCAUAGGCUUAUAUAUGCUGUUUCUUUGCACAGCAUCUUGCAGCAUCAAGGGGUUAUGAAGACAUGGCAAGGUUCCUCAUUCAAAAGGGAGUUGAUGUGAACAUGAAAGGUAAUAACUUGUUUGUCAAGCAUUCAUUCAGGCCCCUUGGUAAUUAAUGGUUCUAAUAUUGAUUCGUGUACCUAGACAAAUUCGGGAACACGCCUUUGAUGGAAGCGAUAAAAUCCGGACACGAUCGACUCGCAUCAUUACUUGUCGCCAAAGGCGCCUCCUUAAACAUAGAGGAUGCAGGUAGCUCCCUGUGCACGGCAGUUGCAAGGGGGGACUCUGAUUUCCUCAAGAGGAUUCUGGCCAACGGCGUCGAUCCGAACUCGAAGGACUACGAUCACCGGACUCCGCUCCACGUAGCUUCCUCGGAAGGGCUGUUCUUAAUGGCUAAGUUGCUGGUAGAAGCCGGCGCCAGUGUUUUCACAAAGGACAGGUAAGUUUUACAGAAUUUUGUGCAGUCAGUCUGGUUUUUUUUACAGUACAAUCUAAUAUGGCAUUUGGUAAACUUUUCAUAGAUGGGGAAACACACCACUGGAUGAAGGAAGGAGGUGUGGAAAUAAGAACUUGAUCAAGCUUUUGGAAGAGGCUAAGACUACACAGUUGGCAGAAAUGCCUGAUAGUAGUAGCUCUCAAGGAACCAAAGGUGAGAACUUGCAUUUACAAAAGUAUCAUCACCCAAGUUUUGGUAGGUCACAUUUUGGUCACUCGAUUUUUUUUCUUUAACGAAAUCAUCACUCAAGUGACCAAAAUGUUACCUCCCCAAACUCGAGCGACCGCCGAUGUUUUUAACCCUUUACUUUAGACAUGUUUGCCCUCUGGUCAGUUGCCAACAAUCUAAGUCUGAGAUUGUGCGUUUGGUGCUCUGCCAAAUUUGGACAGGAAAACCCAGCUUGAGGAAAUGCACGGUGUUCGGGUUUGCUCCAUGGAGUCCAAAGGAGGAGAGGAGGGUCGGGAUAGUGUUAUGGGUGCCACAGUCCAUUGACGAGCUUAUAGAAGCUGCGGUGGAGUUGCUCGAGUUUCAAGCCGAAGGUGGUGAUGGUGAUGCUACUUGUGUGGUGACGGAAGAUGGUGGCAGAGUUGUGGAUGUAGAUAUGGUUGAUGACGGUCAGAAACUGUAUCUAAUUAACCAAACCACACAUAGCUGAGCAAGGGCCAAAUUUUUUGGGUAAAUAACCAGUUUCCUGGUUUGCUCAAGUGUUAAUAGACUUAAUUAGAAGCUGUAAGUUAGGAGGUGUGAUUGUGUAAUUAGGGUAGUUGUAGAUGUUGUUUGUUUGUUGUUUAUAGGUCAUGAUGUAAUGAUAUUUGUGUGUGUUUAGGCUUUGUGCAAUAAAAGGUUGGAAAUUCGGAUAGCGCUUUGUACUAGGGCUGGAAAUUUGGCCACGGUUAUUCGGUUUAACUGAAUUCAAAUAAACCACAAACUGAAGUGGAGUGUAAUUCGAAUCCAACAUUGAAAUGAGGUUUCAGCCCAAUUCGGUUAUUAGUGAAUUCGUCUAAUUAACCAACUUUGAAGUGUAGCCGAAUUCGGGUUAAAAGUUCUGAAUUUGGAUCAUUUACCAAUUUGGUUAUUCAGUUUGGUUCGUGUAAUUGCCAACCUUAACCUUACCACCCAAUUUGGUUAAAGCAGUCAACCACAUUCGAGUUGAAUUUGGUCUUGGUUAACCGAAUUCAAAAUCGACGUGGUUUAACCGGUUUCACUGAAUUGCCACCGCACUAUGCCUAUUUAGCUUGACUGUGGUUGCAACCUCAAGCAUGAAGCAUUCAUUGAACGAGUGAUUACAGAGGAAAACGUCGUACUCUGCUUUUCUGCACUUGUCUUCUUGUCAUUCAUCGGGGGAGAAACAAAACAAAACUGUGGUACCUGUGCUUGAUUCCCCUUCACACAAAAUCCUAAGUGGGAAUUACACAAAGAUUCCACCGUUAUCUUUCAAAUCUACAAACUACAAGUGGGUUCCUCUGUUUUCCCCACAGUCAAGCUGCAAAUUCCUUCCCUUUCCUUUCCACGAUGAUGGGCAGCCUCGCAGUCUUCCGUACCGCUGUCGCCGGCUGUUGCUGCUUCCAGCCGCUUCCGAAUCGACAUCUCCGGUAAGUCCACUACGUUACUGCUCAUUUGCAAUCUCUCUGUUCUCCGGUACUCUGUUUUUUUGGAACUGAUACAGAGUGUUAAUAGAGCAGUUACAAGAUUAUACCUUUUCGCCGUUGCGAGAAUGAGAUGGUUGGAGCUAAACGAUAAUUAAUCAUCAUUGGACGCUGUGAUUUGCUUAUUAUUUAAAUCAUUACUUCCUUGUUGUUGUUGCUAUUGAUUCCUUUUGUUUUUUGUGAUAUUGGAACAGUGUGUCGGCAGGCGGCGGUGGCCGAAUUCUCAUCUCCGGCCAACCCAAAUACGACAGUACCCAUUCCAAUAAUUUGUUCGCUUCUUCCGCCGGCCGUCGCAUCAACCGCGUUUUUAUAUGCUCGUAAUUUCUUCUCUCCCCCUCUCUCCCUAUCUCUCUAAUUACGUGAAGUAACUAUGUCGGGUUGUUAGCCGAGCCGAAUUUCACUCAGUUCGCGUUAUUUUCUUGGCGAACUCGAUUUAGUGCUAGAAAAUUUUACACCCGAGAUUGGUACGUAUUUAUUUAGGCCAACGCGAUUUAAAGUUGGGAAAUUUUAAUAUUUGCAGUGCUCGACCUUUACUUGUCAAUUACUCUCAACAAGUCAAACUCAAAUUUUGUUCAUCAAAAUUUUUCGAUGUUUCGAUUUGUAAUAAAUCUAAAACACGUCCACUAAAAAAGCAUAGAUCGACAAGCCCAAUUAAAAAAACGUAAAAAAUUUACAAAUUUCUAUUUUUCUCAUUUAAAAAUAUUUACACCUAAAUAAUAUACUACCUACUUUUUCGUUAGUACAAUCACAAAUUACAUAAAGUAUAUUGUAUAUAGUAUUUGAAAAAAGACAUAUUGUAUUAUUGAAUAAACUAACGAGUCAGGUCAUCUCCUUGUUUGGAAACUUUUAAUUGUCUUCACAUUGCCACGUCAACAAAUUCAACAAUUCAUUUAAUGAAAAAUUUUCAACCACCUCCAUCCCUAAUUUGUUUAACAAUUUCUAUUCAUCAUUUAUAUAUUCCUUAACAAUAUUUUUUUACCAAUAAUAAUAGAUCAUUCAUAAUAUAAAUUUUAAUCAUAAAUAUUUUUUCUUAAAAAGUGAUCCAUUUGCUUAUGUGACAUUACUAAUUGACUUUUUAAAUUAGAAAGCUUUCUAAUUUAUCAAACCUAUUGCAAAAAUUUUACAAUGGAGAUGCCCUCAUAUAGUCGAGCUAGUAUUCGAGUUGGCUCUUAAACUUGAGCCAGCUUGUAAUCCUAUCGACGUGAGCAUACUAUAGCUUAGGAUUGUCUCAUUUAAGAGCUCGAGCCAUUUCGUUAGCCUAUUGAGUCCAACAUCAUCUGAGUCAAGAAUAAAAUUGACUCAUUUAAGAUCUCAAACUAACUUGCGAGCCUAUUAACUCGAACAUACACUAAUUCGAGUCGAGUUGACGAAUAAAUUUGCAUGCAUUCCUUCAAUCUGGGGGGAAACCCGCCCACCUGUCAAUUUCAACCCCCGUAAGAUUCCAUCGAUUUCGAACAAUUACAUCAGAAGAGUACAGAUUAAUAUAAAAAGGCCGGUCAACAUAAAGUAAUCUUUUGAAAGUUUCGAAAUUAUAUAAUCACCUUCUUGUCUAUAGAACUGGUAAUCAAUCGACUGAUUACCAGGAAUCUGUUCAUGUCUCUUUUUCCUCCAAGUUCAGAACUUUUAUAAUCCUACUGUAAUAAAAAAAAAACCAACAUUAUGAUUAUUCUCUCACUGUUGGUACCGAUUUCGAACUAUAGAUGCUCUGUAAGUGUGAAACCUGUGCUGCGGGAGGGAGAACAGAAGAAUCAGCAGCAGCAAGGGAUGCAAUCGGCGACGUUUGGGGCAGAGGAGGCGACGUCGCUGGUGAAGAAGCUGAGGCAGAGCUUCAACUCCGGCAAGACAAAAAGUUACGAAUGGAGAAUUUCGCAGCUGAAUGGGAUCUCGAAGAUGGUCGAGGAACGGGAAAGCGACAUCGUUUCCGCCCUCUACGACGACCUCUCCAAGCCUUCCCUUGAAGCCUUCGUUGCUGAGGUAUUGAUAAAUCAUUUAAGAUUCGUUUCAAUUUUGUCGAAAAUAAUUUCAAAUAGUAAGAAAUUUAAAAUAUGCAAGUGAUUUAAAAAAUGCGAGUUUGUUUAGUAAAGUUUAGGAAAUUAAAAAAUAAUUUUAAUUUAUGAAAAAUAAUUGUUUAAUUAUUUUAUGAAAAUUAAAAUGAUUAAUAUGUCCUUAAUUCAUUCUGUUUUUUAACUCAACAAGACAAUUUAAUCAUUUUCUACCACACAUUAUUUGAGAUUUGAUAAAUUUCUUAUCCAUUAAAUUUGAAAUCACAUUCCAAAUUAUUUGAGUGCUCACAGCGAUCACAUCACUCCUUAUAGUUUUAACAAAAAGAAAUAGAAGAGGCACAACUUCAAAUAACACUAAAAGUAAGAAAAUUUCCAAAUUUUACAUAUAAUUCGGUACUCGGGAUUAGGGAAGAAAGGAGUCGGGGACUUUCUUCGACUCCCCGUAGUUUCAUUCCUGACCAAACAUUGAGCGGGAUUAAAAAAUGCACCGAACUGGAUUCGAGAAAAUCUAAAAAAUAUAAUUGAUUUCAAUGAUCAGAACCAAAAGUGAGGUGAGACGGGCCCAAAAUCCGUGCCGGGAACUGUUUUGUUGUAGUGUCACGCAGGCUGUUCAUCCUUUUUUGGUUCUGUGUGUUGUUUGAAGAUUUCAAUGGCGAAGUCUGCCUGUAAGGAGGCAAUAGAAGGACUCAAAGACUGGAUGAAGCCUGAAACUGUACUCUUUCUUCACUCUGUUCUUCUUUUAGCUACUCAAAUUGUUGAAACGAAUUCGAAAGGUUGAAUUUUCAUUCAUUGAUGCAGGUCAAAACUACCAUUUCAACGUUUCCUUCAUCAGCAGAGAUUGUACCAGAACCUUUGGGGGUAGUGCUCGUCAUUUCCACCUGGAAUUUUCCUUUCUGUAAGUGAUCCAUGUAUUUAGAAUAAUCGUUUGUAAUCAGUUACGCAACUUAAUAACUAGUUAUAAUCGGUCUGUAAUUAGUUAUAAUCAUAUAGGGAUGAACUGAUCUUGAUUUGGUUGUGCAUGCAGUGCUGUCGAUUGAUCCAGUGAUUGCAGCCAUUUCGGCUGGGAACGCCGUGGUCCUGAAACCAUCGGAGAUAGCUCCGGCUACAUCUUCACUCUUGUCAAAGCUACUACAAGAGUACUUGGACGAGUCGGCCGUUACAGUUUUCGAGGGGGCCAUCCCCGAAACCACCGCUCUGCUACAGCAGCGGUGGGACAAGAUUCUUUACACAGGUUUGUUGCAUCCUGAAAGCUCGUUCAGAUAGGUUUUUAUAUUAUUCAUUAACUGUGUGACAAAAACUGUGUUACAGGGAGUGCUAAAGUGGGCAGGAUUGUGAUGGCUGCCGCGGCAAAGCACCUCACUCCGGUUGUCCUCGAACUCGGUGGGAAAUGCCCGGCGGUUGUCGAUUCGAAUGUGAAACUAGAGGUUGCAGUGAGGAGGAUCAUAGCAGGGAAAUGGCAAUGCAACAAUGGACAGGCUUGCAUUGGAGUUGAUUACAUCAUUACAACCAAAGAUUUUGCUCCCAAGUUGGUAAGUCAAGUCAUCAUAGUUGCUUCAGAUUUUUUACUUCCUAUCCUGAUUAUGCUUGAAUUUUCGAAACAGAUAGAAGGCCUGAAGAAAGGGAUCAAAGAUUUCUUUGGGGAGGACGCGAUGGAAUCGAAGGACAUUUCGAGAAUCGUGAGCCUUACACAGUUCAAACGCUUGGUCGGGCUUCUGGAAGAGGAGAACGUCUCCGACAAAAUCGUUCUCGGAGGCCGAACUGAUGUCGAUAGAUUGUACGAAGCCGGGUUCCUUGCGUUACAAGUAAUUACAAAUGUUGAGUCACACGUAAUAAGAAUUUUUUGGAAUGCAGGAAGAUAUCUCCAACCAUACUGCUGGAUCCUCCUCAGGAGUCUCAAAUCAUGCAGGAAGAGAUCUUUGGACCGUUGCUCCCCAUUGUCACGGUUUGCAUAACUUAACUUCUAGCUUCGGGUUUUUUUGUGCCGGUUAUCGCUGUUUUGAAAGUUUGUUGAAGUUUGGUGAUCCAAUUGUCCUAUUGUUGGAGUUUGGGGAUUAAUUAAUUUUAACCUUUAAUCGUAACUGAAUCUCCACCCCUACUAUUUCACCUAUUGCAAAACACUUCUUGUUUACUCAUUUACGAUAUCCAAAUCAUUGAAAAUCCCUGUUAUAUUUUAUGAUCAUAAUAGAACUUUCGUACACUGUCGCCCAUAGUUUCUUUCCAUCAUUAGGGUUUUCACGUAAACUCGUUUAUAUCGCUUAUCUCGGUCUCUAUUUCAUUUAUCUCGAUUUCUGACGACUUAUAUCUUGGGAAAAUUAAUAGGUGGAGAACUUGAGAGAGUCAUUUCAAGUGAUAAAUUCAAAACCAAAGCCUCUAGCUGCAUACUUAUUCACAGAUGAUGAGCAGCUCAAGCAGGAAUUUGUGCAGAAUGUGCCUUCAGGAGGAAUGUCCAUCAACGACACAAUCCUACAUGUACCAUCUCUAUCUUUUUCCUAUCGAUAAAAUACUUAAAAUUGUCUCGUAAAUUUAGGAAUGUCCAUCAACGACACAACCAGAUUGUCACUUACAAAAAUUGAGUAGAUCAGGACCGUAACUUUUUGAAUGUGGUAUUGACGGCUGUCUUUUCUGGUCAGUUGAACACGUUGAAAUGUCGCGUAACUCAAAAAUCAAAUCGGGUCGAACUGAAAUCCUCAUUUUCACCAAGUCGGACACUCUCUAAUAGAAUGAUGAUUUCAGUCCGACUCGAUUCGGUCAUUGUCAUGUGACAUGUUCAACUGUGUUUUUGAUGGUUUAUUGUGGAGAAAUCGGUCGGAAAAGGUAGUUAUACCGAUGAGAACAGGACCAGAACGUUACUAAAUGCAAAGUUACAGUCUCGAUCUAGUCAAAUUUCAAAGUUACAUGAUCACUUUGUAACCCCAGUCCAAAGUUACGUACGAGACCAUUUUAGGCCCGUGGCUCGUUUCUUCUUCGAAUGGUUUUGAAACUGACCGAUUUGGUCUGAACCACAGGUUACGGUGCACACGCUGCCGUUCGGAGGAGUAGGGGAGAGUGGGAUGGGUUCGUACCACGGGAAGUACUCGUUCGACGCAUUUAGCCACAAGAAGUCGGUGUUGUACAGGAGCUGGAGUGGAGAUGCAUCACUGAGGUAUCCACCUUAUACUCCUCAGAAGAAAUCGAUGAUGAAGGGACUUAUGAACGGUGGCCUGCCUGGGUUAUUAUCUGCUUGGCUCGGAGGAUCGUCCUCGAACGAAUGAUGUUUAGAAGUUUAGGGGGCUUAUUGUUAGGGAUGGUAAAGAUUUGGGUCAAUUGGUUACUUUCAGAAGUACAUCUUGUACACAUGUAUGUGUGAGUAAAGUUUGGCCAAAUGUGUCUUGAUAAAAUAAAAUAGUAAAAGAUAUAUUAAUUAAAAAUAAAAAUUAUUUUCUUUUUACCUUUUAUAGUACAUCACAAUUCACAACCAGUUUUUUAAGUUUUGAAAGUAUUUGAUAAUGUAGUUAUGAAAGUAUAUUAUAAUAUAUUUGUCCAAAUUGUUAAUGUCAUCUCUCUAAAUAUAUAUUUUCAACCGCAAAUUUAAUAACUUUUAAUGGUUAAGUAUGAAGUAUAUCAAUUUCAACUUAAUUCAAGCGGAGUUCAAUAUUUGAAUUUUGAUAUAGCGUAAAAUUAUAUAUAUAAUUUAAAAUUAUAUUAAUCUCCAAGGAGGUCCAAUGAUCCCACUUGAAGAGUUUGUCUUUGUCCUUGCUUUAUCAUGUUGUCUUUGGGAUUUCUGAGCUUGAUCGAUCGAAAACCAGUAGUACAAUUUCUCAAUGAUUAAUAAAUUUGUAAGUUCGUAACUUAAAAACUAAUUAACAAACAAAACCCGAUUUAUUCUCUCCUUGAUACCCUACUUCAUAAUUUUGUCAUAAAAUCGAUUUUGAAAACGUCAACUUCUCUCAAUAUCCCAUUGAUGAACAACAAUCAAUGAUCCAAUUCCUAUCCCAUUGAUGAACAAGGAGAGAAAAUGGUGCAUAGAGAUUUUUAAUCUUGCUAUCUCGAUUUUUUCCCGUUAAUGAUUAUCGUUCGGGAGUGGUUUAUCAAUGAAGAAACAUACGGAAGAUGAUUAAUACAGAGAUAUAUUUUCAUCUUGUACUCGAUCAUCAUCCUUCUUAAUCUUGUUAUUGUUUUUUUGUUCUUCGUACAUGUAUGUGUACAAAUGCCUGUAGACGACCCAAGCUCAGGUCGAUUCUUCAUAUGGAUCAUAUCGGGUUUUUUGUUCGCGUCCGUGACGAUGGGUGGGACCUUCCUGGUUAUGUAUUUGAUCCUCCCUCCCACCCCAUCUACCCAGUGGCUCCCCAUCGUUGGAGUCUCCCUCAUUUGCCUCCCGUGGGGGUUUUGGUUCUUCACUUGCAUUUAUCGGGUCGUCUCUCGUACUUUCGGAUUUAGAAUGGUUAUCGGAGGAUGUGGAGGAGGAGGAGGCAGCGACAACGGCGAUAACAAUGGGAAGGGCGGCCCUGGACCUCUUUUUGGAGGUGCAAAAUUAGAAAGAGAUUCAGGACAUACAAGCGGAGAAAAUGGUGAUAGUAACAAUAUCAAAAGGACAUCAAAUUCGGCAAAUGACCUCCCGGUUGCUUCUAAAGAGAGUGAGAUGCCAUUGACACAAACCAUGGGAUCUCAAUGAUAGAUUCUUUUGGGGGAAGUUUGAUGUUUUGUGUUCUUAACAUUGAUGAACAUUUAAUGGAAGAUGAUCACUUUAGUUCCUAUAAAAUCCUUUUACCUGUGUAGUUUCUUUUGUUCUUCCUCAGUUGUAUGAUGUAAUUAACUAUAUUUCAUGAUUAAAUAUUCUUAAUUUUAUUUUAUUAGAUUCAUCAAAAAAAAUUAUCUUAUUAUUAGUGUAUUAUAUUGUUUACUAUUCUUUCCCAUAUACAAUGCAAGGAUAUCCUAGUGGAUCUUCCUUCUGUAAUCCUUUAAUAGGGGAAAUUUUUUUCCACAUCAAGUUAUCGUUAAGCAGUACUAAAUCCUUAUCGUUUCAAUGCAAAAACAUAAUAAUAAAUUGGAUCCAAAUCUCGAAAUUGAAAGCUAAACAUUCAACUCCAAAUUACAAGCUUCAUUUAGAUCUUACGAAUCUCAAAAUCGAAAAGUUCCCUUGAAAUUAAUUCAGAACCGUUAGUAUAUGGUUUAUAGAUAAACUUAUCGACGGCUCAUAAUUAAUAUAUCAAUGUCAAUCAUGGAGGGAACUAGAUCAUACGUGUACCAACGGAACAUUUUGAGACGCACAAAUAUAAAGUAUUUGGAUUAAAAUGUUCGAUAGUAUUAAAUUGUGGACUGAUAUAUCACUCAUUUUCUUCGUAUACAUUUCCUAAACAGAAAACGGUAUAAAUACGAAAAUCGGGAACCCCUAAUCUCCAGAAAUUUUGAAUUUGAAUUCAAAAUUCAAACCCUUGGAGCUUCGCAAGCGGGAAAACCAGUGUUCUCCUCCGCUCUCCUCCCACUCGAGACCCCGACCACUCAGUGGAGGCAAGCUCACUGGUGCAGAAAUGGUCGGCGGAAGCAAGAAAUCUCACCGGCAACAUCCGGUGAGUCUGAACGAGAGUCACUAUCGCCUCCUUCAAGACCUCUCCGCUCCUCCUAAGCAAUCAUUUGCAGGUCUCCGCUUUCUUACUCUUCUUCUUUCUUUCGUUCUCUCGCCGUUUCUUUUCAUCAUUUGGUUGGGGAUUUUUUGUACAGAUGAACCGCAAGAGACGAAGAAGAAGAUCGAAGGACGCCGUCGUCUCUGCAAGCCGCAAUCGAAGGAUGACGAUAGUGACGAUGAUCAUGUCAACUUGUUCGCUGGCAUCACCGAUUUCGAUUCUCCUCCAGUUGCUGGUACACACUAUUUAGUUAUCACUCAGAGUUGAGAGUUUGUCUCGAUCGUUAUUUGUCUCUUCCAUUUCUAGGUCUUCGUUUUCACGCGUCGUACGAUUAGGUUUUUUCUGACAGUGGCGACUUUCUGUUUGGCUGGAUUUGGUUGUGUGCAGGCCAAGAGAUGCCACCGAUGAUGAAGGAGAUGGAAAGACCACGUAAUCUCUGGCAAGUAGAAUCGGAGGAAAAUGAGCCUGAGGAUGAUAAUAUUCCCUCGUUCUCUGGCAUUACUGAUUUUGAUUCUCAUGGUGGGUGUUUGUUUCUGUAAUCUGUGUGGAUUCUAGCAGAAUAGGUCAUAAGUUAGUUAACGAAGAUUUUAAGAUUGGUGAAAAGAAGCUCAGUUGCUUUUGACUUGCAUGCUAAAGGCCUCAUGGUUUUGGAUGUUCUUCUUUUGUGUAAUGUCAGAAGAAGAAAAGGAAAAUAAGGUUAGGAUUGAAGGCAGGAGGCGUCUAUGCAAACUCUCUCAUCAGGAGCAGGAAGAUGUGCAAGAUGAACCUACAUUCACUGCAAUUACAGAUUUCGAUUCACCGCUGCCUUCUAAAGCUGAAGGCAGAAGUGAUGAUGAUCCCAAUGGUGACAUCAGGGAUAUUCUGAAUGGCUUGACUUCAAGGCUUGACCUUCUCUCAAUUGAGAAAAAGAAGGAACCAGGAAGAUCUGGAAACUUGACCAAUGCGAGAGCUGAGUCAUGUACUUCUGGUACAUCUCAAACAUCAAAGGUAGCUGGGUUCAAUUGCAUGAGAGCUGUGGAUGAAGGUACUGCGGAAAGCAAUUCGUUCAAGUGGCUUGGAGAUGACAGCUCUGUUAAAAUGGUUGGUGAGACCAAGGCAACUCAUCGGCUCUUAAAUGAAAAUGAUGUCGGAAGGACUGGGAAGUCUUUGGCUUUUGAAGAUCAACUUUCUGAUUUCAAGUUUCAAAGUAAAAAGGCAAGUGAUAGAAGUGUUGAGCCUGUUGGGCAGAGCUAUGCAGCCAAAAGUGAAUUGAAGUCUGGGUAUGACAGAUUGAGAUACGCAGGCCGAUCUAAUAUGGGUAACCUUAGGGAUGAAGAGGACUGUGUAGUUGUCAGUGGUAAGAACUUGGCCAAAGAAUCCAGGCGACCCAAUAAUCAAGUGAAGCCACCCACUCACUCUCAAUCAAUCAACGUGUGCAAUGAGGACGAAGGAGCCAUUACUCUGAGUGACUCACGAUAUGCAUACCGACUACCAGGGAAAAUUUCGACCAUGUUGUUUCCACAUCAGCGCGAGGGAUUGAAGUGGCUGUGGUCAUUGCACUGUCAGGGUAAAGGUGGAAUAUUGGGAGACGACAUGGGGUUGGGGAAAACCAUGCAGGUAUGGACUUUACUAACGAUCUGUAGCAAUUUUAAGAUGCAUGAGUUGUCACUGUUGAUGGAUGCUAAUUUAUUUCGUUUCUGAAGAUCUGUGGCUUUUUAGCUGGGCUUUUCCAUUCCAAACUGAUUAAAAGAGCGUUGGUUGUCGCCCCUAAAACAUUGCUUGACCAUUGGAUCAAAGAACUAUCUCUUGUAGACCUCUCUCGGGAUACUAAAGAGUAAGAUGUUCACAUCCCAACUUUUACUGUUUUACUUGGAAGGAGUAAUUUGUUUAAUGUUGAUGAUGCUGAUGAACCCUUUGCACUUCCGUACAGAUACUUUGGGACUUCUGUAAAGGCUCGCCAAUAUGAAUUGCAACAUAUUCUUCAGGUUUAUUGUGUGCUUCUGGUUUGUUUCAAUAUAAGCUUUAGCUUAAGACAAACCAUGUUUUACAGUAGCGAAGCGUAAGAAUUUUGACUUCAUUUUUUAAUAGACUCUAGAUAAGUUAAUUGUGUGGAAAUGUCAUCAGAACGUAUUCCGUUUUUCGGCUUUUAGUCAUUUAGCUUAUUUUAUUUGUAAUCUGUACGAGAUUUGUAGUAACAUCAUCAGUGCUGGUAGUUACUUUUGUUCAAUUAAUUCUGUUUCUGAUUUCCAACAAGUGUUAUAACUUUUUACAUAAAACUGUAUUUAGUGGCUCAUUGUUCACGUGUCUUCUUUGUCCUCAUGAGAUUCAUUCUUUUCUCUUCACAGUACGGCGGUAUUCUUCUUACUACUUACGACAUAGUACGCAACAACUCAAAAGCAUUGCGGGGGGAUGGUUUAUGGACUGACCAUGAUAGCGAAGAUGGUUUCCUGUGGGAUUACAUGAUUCUUGAUGAGGUAGAUAACUAUAGCAAUAUUCAGAUGUUGCUUAUUAUUAUUUUUUUAGAUUUCGCGGGCUUUGUAUCUGAAGCAAUGAUAACUUGUCACAUCCUUGAAAUAUGUAUUUGCAGGGCCAUCUGAUAAAGAAUCCCAGUACUCAGAGGGCUAAAAGCUUGCUUGAGAUAGAGAGUGCUCAUUGCAUUGUCGUUAGUGGAACACCUAUUCAAAACAAUCUCAAGGUAUUGUGUUUAUAACUGUGUUCGUACUCUGAUUUAAAUAAGCUCAGGUGUGUGAUGUUUCUGUUUGCUUGAUAAAGGAACUCUGGGCUCUAUUCAACUUUUGCUGCCCAGAUCUACUUGGUGACAAAAAAUGGUAAUUAUACCUUCCUAAUUUUGUUGGUUUUACUUGAACUUCGUAUUUUGUUGUUUUACAUGAUUUAUGAUGGCCCUGAUUCAAGAUUUCCAUUAUUCAGGUUCAAAGAAAAAUAUGAACAUCCCAUACUUCGUGGAAAUGACAAGAAUGCUUCUGAUCGGGAUAAGCAUAUCGGUUCGAGAGUUGCUAAGGUCAUGAAUUGAUAUAUUUUUAAACCAGGGAAUGUAUUUAGUUACCCAGAGAUCUACUUCAGUUGUGGAUCAAUUUUUGUAGAGUAUUGAAAUUGAAUCCAGUUGAAGUGCCAGUUCUGUGCUUAAUUUCUUUUAGCUCUCAACUGUUCUUGUUUGGUUUUCUCAAACUUAAUUUUGUUUCUAUUCCUUCAAAGUUUAGACGUGCCUCGAUUAGAGGUUGUUGCAACUUGCAAGUAUCUAACUGUUCAGCUUAAUCGUUUGUAUCUUACCAUACAGGAACUCAGAGAACGGAUCCAACCUUAUUUCUUGCGUCGCUUAAAGAGUGAAGUCUUCAAGGAGGAUGAUAAUGAAACGGCUAAACUCUCGAAAAAGAAUGAACUCAUUGUCUGGCUAAAAUUGACUGAUUGUCAGGUGGGUUGGUACCAUUGUUAAGUUACGUAAUCCGUCCAACUUAACUUCUCGUAACAUAAUAACAUCUUUCGUAUGGUGCAGAGACAACUUUACGAAGCAUUUUUGCAGAGUGAGCUUGUACUUUCAGCUUUUGAUGGGUCGCCCCUGGCUGCAUUAACGGUGCAUAUAAUUUGGCCCUAGAUCUGAUUCGGGGACCUCCUGUUCUCUUUUAAGGAUUAAAUUUUGCAUUAAUCUAAUGGCUAUCAUUUUGCUUGGAACAGAUUCUGAAAAAGAUAUGUGAUCAUCCCCUUCUCUUAACAAAGCGAGCUGCUGAGGAUGUACUUGAAGGAAUGGAGACUGGUCUAAAUCCAGAGGAUGCUGGCCUGGCUGAAAGAUUGGCGAUGCAUGUAGCAGAUAUUGCUGAGAGAAAUGAGUUCCAAGAGACACAUGACAACAUUUCUUGCAAAAUAUAUUUCAUCAUGUCACUGCUGGUUAGUUUAACCUUACAGAUAUAUUACUUAUCGAAGUUCGAUUUGAAAUUGUUUUAACGAAUCUAUUUCUUUUCCAUAGGAUGACCUCAUUGCUAAGGGUCACCGUGUGCUCAUAUUUUCUCAAACACGGAAGAUGCUCGAUCUUAUUCAGGUUUCUUUCAAACACUUCCAUGCUGCUAUAUUAAUUGCCUGAUUUUGCUUAUGAUAUAUUUCCUGCGGUUGAGCAAAGUUAAUAUUCCUGUAUGAAGUCCGCAAGAGACCAUUGCAUAUUUUGUCUUAGGAGUUCGGAUUAUCUCUCUUUUCCCUUUUAUUUCUCCUUGUUUUUCUUGUGAAGAAGCAUCCAUCUUUUCAGUGAUCUUGAUAAUAUGAUCAUAUCGUUUGGUAUUUUAUAAGCUUCGAAUGGUUGAUAUUGUUCAUAAUUCUCAACUGGGCUUUUUUGUUUUUUGUAAUCUUACAUCAUCUGUUCACACUAAGUAUUUCUUGUUUCAGGCUGCUAUAGCCUCCAGUGGUUACAAGUAUUUAAGAAUCGAUGGCACUACAAAGUCCAGUGAUAGAGUGAAGACUGUGAAUGUAUAUUUCUUUUGGUAUUUUGAAUAACUGUCCGUGUCUUUAUGGAUUUAUUCUUAUUCAUAAACUUUACAUCUGUAUAUAGGACUUUCAAGCUGGCAACCACGCUCCUAUAUUCCUCCUGACAUCUCAGGUUGGAGGUCUUGGUCUCACCCUGACUAAAGCAGAUCGUGUAAUUGUAGCUGAUCCUGCUUGGAAUCCAAGGUUCUUACUAAGUUAUUUAAAUUGUAAUCUUUUUUAGUAUUUCAAGUAAGAACACGCUAACACCAACUAUUUAAUGUUUUUGUAGCACGGACAAUCAAAGCGUUGAUCGGGCGUAUCGUAUUGGUCAGCAAAAAGAUGUCAUUGUGUAUCGAUUAAUGACUUGUGGGACAGUCGAGGAGAAAAUCUACAGGAAGCAGGUACAAUUUUGGCUUUCGUUUAUCCAUAAUGCCAACCCUUUGUCUCAAACCGUUGAUAGGCCAAGUAUGCAAAGUUGAAACAGGAUCAUACCAGCAAAAGUUUAUAUAAAUGCAUAAUUCAAAGUUUUGAACGAUGAAUUUAUAUAUAGGCUUUUCCAAUGUUUACAUUUUUCUCUUGCGCUUGUGUUUGGAAUUUAUGGCACAUGAUGCAAGUUCAUAUGAAAAAAUGAUGCCUUUAAUUUGCAUUUUUUGUAGAUUUAUAAGGGCGGGUUGUUUAAAACUGCAACCGAGCAAAAAGAACAGGUCCGGUACUUCAGUCAACAGGUAUGUCUUCUCUUCUGAAAUUCUUUGAAUGCUUAAAGGAUGGUUUCAUGUGUUAUUUUUUGUGUGUGCUAAGAUUCACGUUAUUAUUUUUGUAGGAUCUGAGGGAAUUAUUCAGUCUUCCGAAGCAUGGAUUUGAUGUUUCCCUCACACAGCAGCAAUUGCAUGAAGAACAUGACAAACAGCACAAAAUGUACUCUAAUCAUCUUCAUAAAAAUUUGCUCCCUUUUGUUCGUUCACUCUAUUCUCAUGGUUUUAUAACCUUUCAGUUUCGAGUUCUGCUUAUAAUGCUUCAUUGCUGUUUGGUCCCUUAGGGAGGAAAAGUUGGAAGCUCACAUAAAGUUCUUGGAGACAAAGGGCAUAGCAGGAGUUAGCCACCAUAGCUUACUUUUCUCCAAGACUGCACCACCUGUACCAGUAGUUGAAGAAGACGAUCCAGAAGCAAGGUAACCGUUUGUUAAUUCUGCUUCCAACGAUUAGAACCCAGCCAGGAACGGAAUGGUUAAUAACGGUCCACAUCCUUUCGGUGUUAAUCAGGAGUUAUUCAUUUCUGUAUACUUUAUUUAUUUGUUCAUGUAGGAUGAGAGCAGCUGCUAUGAUGUAUAGGGGUAAUUCAUCAAGAACACAAGAACGAGAUGUUGAUGGAGGGUAUGGCAAAGUUUUUAUCAUAAUCAAACCUCAGUUUACUUUUUAGAAACAUUCAAACUGUAACAACAAAGUGUCCGAAAAUGUUGAUCACAGGGCUGCAUAUGCUUUCAACCCAAAGGACGUAAACCGAAACACGAAGAGCUCUUCGCCUACUAGUCCAGGGAAGCUGACCGAGUCCGAUAUCAAAUCUCGAAUCAACCGGCUGUCGCAUUUGCUUGGAAACAGGGUAAGUACUCUGAUAACUAGUAGAUAAGUGUGAGCUAUGUGCUUUGUUAGGCAGGUGGAAUGUUGGAUGAGAUUUAUAUGGCAUUUAUCACUUCGUUGGACAGGAAAAUACUCAAAAUUCUAUCCAACCUUCCACCUGCAAACCAAAUGAUAAUCGUUUCGAUAGUAACUCGAAACUAAUUUUGGUGUCUAAUGUUUUUUUGGCAGAAUAUAGUAUCAGGAUUACCUGAUAGAGGAGAGAAACUGAGGAAGCAAAUUGGGGAUCUGAACAUGGAACUUGAGAAGAUUCGUGUGGAGAAAGAAGUCAUUGACUUGGAUGACUUGAGUGAGGAGCUUCACAAGUCUUUCAAUAUUUGAAUGAUUAGUCGCUUUUGUGGGGUUUCAUAUUGGUCCGAUUAAUAGCGGAACCAAAAUGGUUGUCGAUUUUAGGUUCGAAUCCUUGUUCUGUCACUAGUCCCACUAAUUCGAACAUCUUGCACUGACUUAGUGCAAUUGAGUUGGUUUCGAAUCACCUGAAAUAGCAAACUAAUUACUCUCUAUGAGAUAUGUAAGAAUCGUUUGUUAUAAAAUAUUCGCAAAUAGUUUGUGGUAUUGUUGUAACUUGUGACCACAAGUCUCCAUCUUGCAUGCAACCAACAAAUUAAAAGGAAAAAGCAAAAGGAAAAGGACCAACUUUUUAGGGUUUCAAUUUUGAAUAUCACCCACUUGAAUAAAUCGAGAAAGGAUAUAUUGAAUUUCUUUAUAAUGAAAAUUAAUUAAUUUUGAAAUUGAAAAAAGCUAGUCCAAAUACAAAUACUUACGGCUAAUUAUUAUUGUAAACAUCUUAAUUGAAAGUUAGGGGAACUCCAAUUUCUAUUGGAGGGUGAGAUAUUUUUUUGAGUUAUUAACUUGCGUAAAGUGUUGGAUCGAUAUUGAAUGGUUUAAAUUGAACAUAUAUUCAUGAAAAAUAAUUACAUAAAAAAUAAUUACAUAAUUGAUCUUUUAACUAGCAUUGAGCAUAAUUUAUCCAUUGAUGUUCAUUCAGUUUCUAUUUCAUAACAACUAUUAUCUUGUAACAUUUUGAAUGUCACUUGGUUUAUCGGAACCUCAAUUGAUUUCGAACGAAAAUAAAUUGUUCUCCUAUUUAACAAACUGUACAGCAUUUCAGUCUUGGAUACUCAAAUCACUAAAAAAAAAUCAAAUAAAAUAAAAGAUUUUUUUCUGCUGCAAAAUUCCGUACAUCAUUCAUCCCUACCACCAUAAUCAUCAUCGCGCAACACCAGAGCAGAAAAAUUAAUCAUUAACGAAUCAGCCGCCACCUUGACUGAUUCCCGCCGCCGGCUUCUCAUCGCCGACAAUCAUUUCUACAUUUCAUUUCUUCCGUCCCUCUUUCUUCUUACUCGAGAGACCUUUCAUUUCUCUCGAUUUGUUUUCCUCUGAAAUUCCAUCUUGGUAUAUCCAUCUUCGAUUUGCUUUCUACUUGAGUUUCGAUCCAUUCCAGACGCAGGCUUCGAUUCACCGUUCUAUUCCGAUCAACGUCCAGCUGAGAAUCUCGUGCUAUUCAAAUUUUCUCGUCUUCAGAUUUGAUCAGGUAACGCUCCAUAAGCUGUUCAUUUCAACUGAAUUCAGCGGAUUGAAGAAUCUGUUGCCCGAUCCAUUCCAGAUGCAGCUUUGAUUCACUGUUCAAUUCCGAUUGACUUGCAGCUGAGAAUCUCGGUUUUCAAAAUUUGCCAGUCUCUCGUGCAAUUCAAUUUCUCGAUUGAUUCAGGUAACGCUCCAUGUCAACUGAAUUUAGUGGAUUGAACUUGUUUCUGGCUUUGCCAGAUGACGUGUUUGCUAUCAUAUCUCGCUCCCUAUCGCCGUUGGACGUUUGCAAUCUCAGCCUUUCAUGCCGGAGCUUACGAGAUUUUUCAUCAUCUGAGAAAGUCUGGCUCGCUCAAUGUGGAAUCGUUGGGGUUCUUCCCCAAACUGAACUCAUCAAGUGGAGGAAAGGCGUUUCGUCGUACAAGUCCCUCUGCCGAUUCCUUAUUACUGUGGUUAAGCCACUGGUUGGAAUUUGGGUUCAUCAGAACCCUGAGCUCGGCAAUGUAGUGUACGUAAUGCCUGGUUUCGUAUCGGUCGUUGGAUGUCGAGUUAUACCGCAAGAGCUCGGUCCUUUAGGGAUCGAAGACGGCCCUAUUCUCUGGUCGCCGGUGUUUGAAGUAAUAAGUGAUCUUGAUGGUUCUUCUUUGUUCUUUCUUCAUGGAAGGGAAAAAGGAACUGACUAUGUGUAUCCUGGUUCGUUGAAACCGGCUGAUCGGAACUGCAAUGUGCUUUUGCUCGAGGUUGAACCUCGCGAGCAGAAGAAGAGACUGCUGCUGCAUAGUCAGAGCUUUGCUUGCAUUUCAGAACAUCCGUCGAGCAAAGUUUCGAGGUCGAGCAGUGGAUUGUCGAAGUCGCAUCGGGUAGUGGACGUCAAGCCGAGUUUUAGCCGGUUGGGGUUUAAUGAUAGGAGGAAGCUCAUCGAGGCUGUGACUCGAAAUGUUCAUCGAGUUUUACCAGAUUCAACGAGCGGACCGCUUUUUCUUCCUCUUACGAGGAGAAGUGCUGAUGAAGAUAGCUCGAGUUUGUGUCGACGUAGAUCGUUGCUUCUGGACAUACACAAGCUCGGUGGCGAUGGCAUUGAUUGGGAAUCGGUUCCGGAACUGCUUUCUGAUCGCAUUGUCAAUGGAUCAAAAAACAUAGCCCGGUCGGGUGUAAAUGGAGAUGGUUAUACACAAUCCGUCGCGAAGAAAACACUCGGAGGAUAUUUACGAGCUAGUGUACGACAGAUUUUGGGGAAAUCGUCGCCUUCUCAUGUACGCUCGAAGAGUUCGAACGGUGAGAAUAAGCACGCGAGCAUUCACGAUUUCUUACUAUCGGGCGAUGCGAUAGGAUUGGCAUUACUUCCCGUAAAGUUGAGGUUGUCUUCGUACCGAGCGUGGCCAAAUAUGCAUGAUAGCCGGUUCGCUCUGUACAAGUUACCUUUGUGGCAUCCCCGACCCGACCAAAAGUACGCCGGUUUAUGGGGUGGGACUUUUGGUUGGCCACCCGGAAAGCCGUCCGAGGAUAAACCCGGGAAAGCUCUCUUCUUUCUGUUGUUAUCUUACGACGAAUCCGAUGGGGUCCACCGGAAUCUCGUGGCUACGAAGAUACUCGAAGGCACUCACUAUGUACUCCAUCCAAAUGGCUCGGCGAUGUUUGUAGUGAAUCUAGACGAGCCUUCCGAGGAUCCAUUUCCUUGGGAUCCGGUAAGUGUGGAGUAUUCGUUUUCAGGGGAAGGUAUCGCGCACGGAUAUGGGUUCAGGUAUCCCGGGUCGAAACCCGGAUCACUGUUUGUGAUUCAAAACGGCGUGCUUGCUUUUGUGUGGAAAGAGUCUAGAGCUGUGUUGACGAUGCAGCGGCUGAACUUGGAGGAGCUCGUGAGGAAAGGCGAACAAGUGCCCGCACUUACUCCCAUUGCAAACUUUGCGUACUUGACAAAGUCGUACUCGAAUGUGUUUGUCGGGUUCUCGAGUGGUUCUGCUUGCGCCUCGUCACUGAGGUUCGACUUCUUUUUCCCAAACAUCAUUUGUGUCUAAUUAGUAAGCAUCUCCUGAGGUUUGUUUGAAAACACUUCUGCAGGCCAAGGCAGUGAGAUCUGAUUUUAUCUACGGAGGCGAUGAUGAACGGACCGGAUUGCUCGUAGCCUGAUUACACGUUAUAUGUAUUCCUGUUCGUAAUACUAGCAUUGCUUCGAAGGAUCGGUCGCAUGUGCGAAUAAGCUGUAGAUACUAUGUUAAGGUUUAUGCUCCGGCAGGUUAUAUACUUAUGUUAAUGAGUUGCAGAACAACAUGGUUGAUUGAAUGUACAAUGCUGUGAUUCUAUCUAGUCGAUGGUUGUGAUAGUGUUUCUUUUUCUUGCUUCAAGCACAAGGUAAAGCAAAGGCGUUGGUAGUACUACGCACGAAUGUACUACCAAUGCCUGCUCACACACAGACGAAAGUCCUCAAAGUCGCGGACUUUUUCACGUAUAGGUUAUAGGGAGGCUGCAACGGAGAUGGACGAUUUUGUCGGGACCUAACUUUCCCGUUCGGCCUGAAAAAUCUCGAAACUCCACGAAUUUUCUACCUACCAAACAGUUUGGCACAAAGUACGAUGAGUUUAGACGUAACUGAAAAGUUCACUCCCAAAAAUCUUGUCGGGAUCUAACUUUCCCAUCCAAAUAAAAAAAUACUCAAAAUUCCACCUAAUCUCUCCCAUCUCUCCACAAAGAUCCUUUUUUUUUUCUAGUGAAGGCAUUGCAAUUCUGCAAUAGCUAAUUCCAAGCACUAAGUACACAGGGAAACAAACUUGCAACCAUUCUGGAAAUGCUACAAGACUCGAAUCUUAAUCUAGCCCGGAUCGAGUAUUUACAGAUGGACAGGUGUACCUGACUUGCUCCACAAGUCAUCAUCAUGAACAAAUGAGAUUAACCAUUUCUAGAUAAGACUAACAACUUGCUUACUAACAUCACAAUGUAAGCACCCCAUGUUCAUAAUUUAUCAAACUACAAAAAAAGCAACAGGCUUAUCACUUAUGUGCAAAACAAACAUCUAGCCGCCUGAUUGCCUGGUUUUUUAUGGGUUUCCAAGACUACAACAACACAGCAGCAGCACAAAAGAAGCCAAUUCUACAACAACAAAAGGAUGGUCCCCUCCUUUACCUAGGUCGCUUUGACCUUGUUUGUAUCGUCUCCGACGACAGACAGUAUCGGCAAACUGCUGAGGAACUCAUCAAGACCUUCAAAAAAGCUGAUCCCUUCAAUGUUAUCUUCCACACCAUGAUGCCCACUUCCAUUCCUUUCACCAGCUGGUAAUGAAGCCUCAUCACCUUCAUUACUGAACAUAACAUUCAAAUCCAACUUCCCCAUCUCCUUUGCUCCUCCUUUACUCUUUUUCCCACUACUACUCCCUCCUUCUCCCUUACCAUCUACUACUACAUUAUUCCUUGCUUUCUCCCCUGACGAUGCCGAUUUCUUCACAUUCUUACUAGGGGGUCUCCCUCUUGGCCUUUUGUUGUUGCUGUUGGUGGGAAGUUUGGGGAGUUUCUUCUGAGUCCUAUCCCAGUCAUCAUCAUCAGAAUCAGACUUAUCAUCAUCACUACUUAGGUCAGAAAUCUCUAUGAAAACAUCGUAUUUGUAAAUCGUUUUACCCUUACCAGCAGCCGCAGCAGCAGCAGUAGCAGGAGAAGACAUUUGCCCGCCGGGUUGCAAUGGCGUAGAGAACAUUGCUGAAAAGGGUGACCAAUUACUACCCCCUAACCCAAACUUCAUCCCCCCACCUGAAUACCCUAGCGGGAAGAACCCCCAACAGCAAAAGUAUGUAUCUUUACCAGACACAGGCGGCGAUGGCACUUUCACCGCAUGAAACCCUCUCUUACAAGUCUGACAUUUCAAUGCACAUUCUUCAUAUACCUUUGGAUAUUCGUACAUCACGUAGCAAUACGGACAUGCAGUCCAGAAACUCGGCCCUUGAGCCUGAGAUUGAGCCUGAGGUUGAUUCUCCACCGCUGCUGCUACUGGGUGCUGCUUCUGCUUCACCGGCGGCGAUGGUUCCGGUGGCUUCUGGUGCAGCGGCGGUGGGGUUACAAUUGGUGCCGACUUAGUUGCUGGUCUGCUAGAUUCUGCAACUACUUUUGGAGCUGCUGAUCUGCUAGAUUCUGCAGCUACUUUGGGAGCUGCUGGUCUGCUAGAUUCUGCAGUUACUUUGGGAGCUGCUGGUCUGCUAGAUUCUGCAGCUACUUCGGGAGCUGCUGGCUUAUCCAGAGGCUGAGACUGAGAGAUCCAUACCGGAGGAGUAGCUCUAGGGGGCUCAGUAGGAGGCUGAGGUGACGGCGGAGGAGGAGGCUGAUGUUGCUGAGGUGGCGGAGGAGGCGGAGGCUGCUUUUGUUGAGCUAACGGUUUAGUUGGCUGAGGAAGGAAAUGCUGAGUUGCAGCAGUGUCAGUGAACUGAUACUCAACCUGAGUCGAUUGACGAGUCGACUGAGUCGAUACAGGAACCCACUGAUUCGUGACCGGUUCAACCGAACCAUCCCUACUCAUCAUUCUAGAGCUGCUAGAGACCGACGAUUGAGGCAACUGCGAUUGGUCAACGAAGCCCUGAUUCGCGAAUUGGGCGGCGGAGAGACCUAAUUGAACCGGUUGAAGCAACGAAUCGUACAUUGCCUUCUUGGAAGGGUUGGAGAAGAGCAUCCAGGCGUCGGAAACCAGCCGGAAGGAGUGGUCGGCGAAGGCGAGGCGGUUCCUGCUAGGGUUUAAGAGGAGAGCCAGCUUUCUGUACUGAGUCGCGAUUAGCUCCAUCGAUUGAGUGAGCCGCGGGAGCUGGAGAAGGGCGUAGUAGUCGUGAGUGUCGGUGGCGGCUCCGUAGUGGUCUUUCACCCUGAUUUCGGCGGCGAGGAGAGUAUCAGCGAUGGCUAUGAUUUGGUCCGCGAAGUGGAGGAGCCUCGGGUCGGAUUCCCGGGCGCGGAUCGCGAAGGUCUUGGCUCCUUGGAGAUCGCGCGCGUUGAGUAGCUUCUCGGAGAUCGUCAGCCACCGCUCCGCCUCCACUCUGUAUCCCCCGCCGCCAUCCAUUUCUUCUUCAGUGUUUACUUACGGGGUUUUCCGAUUUGGCUCCGACGACGACGAAGCUUUUAGGGCUCGAGAGAGAACAGACUGCUGAGAGUGUGAGCAGAUGGAUGAGAGACAAGGAGGAAGGUGGGGAAAUUGUACUUGAAUGGACGAUAAAGGACAGAUGUUUCCAUAAAAUUACAACCUAGGACAACAGUACAAGUGCCGAGAGGAGAGUGACGUGGACGAUAUUUUGGUCAUUUCGCGAAAAUAGUGGAUGUUACACGUGGGGAGAAUCUGGAGGGUGAGGUUAAAAUGAAUUUUGGAAAGUAAAAAUCAAUUUUAAUUUAACCAUCUCUCUUCCUUUACACACUUUCUUAAUUUUUUUUCACUCACGAGAUCAUUAUCGUUGACGUUUCUUUUAUAAUUGUUUCGUUUGUAACUUUUUAAUGGUUUGACAUAUAUUAUGUACCAACAGUAUGAACAUUACAUAGAUGAUGGUUGUGUACAUGGUGUUAGCAAUAGCAUGAUUUGUAUGUACAUUAUACACUUUGUAUGACGCAGCUUUGUAUGAUGAUUUUGCAUACAAAUAUUGUAUGAUAAAAAUAGCGAUUUUCAUCAUGGUAAUUCCAGAAAAGAGAUAAAAAGAGUAUAUAUAAACUAUUUUUAUGUAUUGAUUAUCGUUCAUGGUUCGUUUACGUAUGUAAUUAACUGUUGAUAGUCUAAACAUUCAAACAAAAGUACCGGCGACAUUUACUAAGACGAGGUGUCAUACUGUCGUAAUAGUGUACUAAACAAACUCUCUCGUCCCUCAAUUUAGUGGUGAUCAAAACUUGAUGAUCAAGAAGGAGUAAAAGUCGGUAACAAAAUAACUAAUCUAAAGGGAGAGAGAGUCAUUUCAGAGAUUUAGGUGGGGUUUGAUAGGAAGGUGGAAUAUCAUCGGUUCAUUCCCUAAUUUUUUCGUUCAACCGAGUCAUGAGUGAUUGUUUGUGGGAAAUCCACGAUGAAAUUAAAAAUACGAUAACCUGUAUGUAAUGUGGACAAACUUUGAGGACUCUUAAUGUCAUUUAGCGACUGGAUAGUUACAGGCGAAACCUUCUUCUUCUUCACCCUUUUCGUCUUCGACGCUUCCUAAAUCGCUGCCAAGUUUGUACCUUUCUCGACCCUGUCGUCAACUUUCUCGCCGUUUCGGGAAAGUUAGGGUUCAUAACAGAUGGGUAACAUAUUCGUGAAGAAACCAAAGAUCACCGAUGUCGACAGAGCAAUCCUCUCCCUCAAGACCCAAAGGCGUAAGCUUGGCCAAUACCAGCAGCAGGUCUGAUUUUUCUUGUACUUUUCCCCAAUUCAUACGAUUCAGAAACUUCUGGUUUUUUUUCUUAAGUGAUCAGGAUUUAAUUUUGUUCCAGCUCGAGACUGUUAUUGAAGCAGAGAAGCAAGCUGCAAAAGACUUGAUCCGUGAGAAGAGAAAAGAUAGGGCCUUGCUAGCAUUGAAGAAGAAGAAGACUCAGGAGGAAUUGUUGAAGAAUGUGGAUACUUGGAUCAUCAAUGUCGAGCAGCAAGUAAGUGAUAAGAUUAGUUGUUUGAAAAUUUAAAAACUCCUGGAAUUGAAUUGAAUUGAAAUGUAUUGAUUAGUUCAUAGGUUGGAUCGUCGAAUUUGCAGCAUCUAGACUGAAAUUAUAUUGAUGAUUUGACCUUUGAUCAUGUGGUUUGAGUUGAUUUCGUGAUUGAUGAUUUGAGUUUUGGUGCCGGUUUGGGUGAUCAGUUGGCAGAUAUCGAACUAACGAGCAAGCAAAAAGCUGUGUUUGAGAGUUUGAAAGCUGGUAAUGAAGCGAUCAAGGCCAUACAGGGUGAAGUCAACCUGGAUGAUGUUCAAAAGUUGAUGGAUGAUACAGCUGAAGCUAAGGCUUAUCAAGAUGUGAGUUCGUGUUUCCGGAACUUAUUUCCUUAUUCUUCUUUGGCUAGCCUUUGGCUUCUGAUGUAUGGUGUUAUGAUGUCUUGCUCUUAUGAGAAUCUCCAUUAAAGCUUCUAUGCGAGAUAAGUUACCUGAUGUUUCGCUCAUUUGUGAAUGGUUUGAAGGAAAUCAAUGAAAUACUGGGAGAGAAAUUAUCUGCAGAGGAUGAAGAGGAGAUUCUGGCUGAAUUUGAGAACUUGGAAAUCCAGGUAUUCUUCAGAUUAACAAUUCUGCUAGUAAAGAUUGCACCUUUUUGCCAUUCACUUUAACUAGGGGAACAUAGAUUGCAAUGAUCGGUGUUUUUGCAUUCGGAAAUGUGAUUGCAAUGAUCGAAUCUACUGUGCUUGAUGAACUCAUUGACUAACGCCACUUCUGAACCUGUUGAGAUGUCAUAAGUCUUAAGCAUCAGUUUGUGACUUCUUUUGGCUCAUUCUAUAUAACAUGUUAUCGUCGUGAUGGUUCCAGAUGACAGUUGACGGUAUGCCAGAAGCACCUACCGCAGUGCCAUCGAACGAAGAGGAUGGAGAAUUGGAUCUUCCUGAUGUACCAACUAAAAGACCAGUUGCUUCAGAAGAGGUUCCCAGAAAGGAAAAAGGUUUGAUCUUUUCUCUUAUUGUGAAUAGUUCUUCCCUUUGAUUUUACUCACAGAAGCUCUUAUAAUAACUUUGAUGUCUUCUGAAAAAAUUAUUGCAGUUCUGGAGGAGCCAUUGCCUGCAUAAUGCACACAUGUACCAUGGUGAUUCUUUCGUGGUAGCAGUCAGUUUUGUGGUUUUCGACAUGGUUUUCUCUGCUGCAAGUUGUUCAGUUUGUGUGUUCAUAUGUAGAAGUUACUGGUUUGUUUGUCAACAUACUACAUCAAGUAAUUGAUGUCGAAACCUUGUGCAUUUCGUCAUUCUACGUUGACACAUUAGCUAAGUGAACAUGGAUUCCUGUAUAAUCCGAAUUAAUUUUUAAGGCAUUGUUGCUAGCUCCUAACAGAAGGAAUUACAAUCGCAAACAAACAUAGAUCACUGUACUAAAAUUUCGAUCAAGUUACUGAUUUGUCCGGAUAACCACUAACAACCACAUGGCCAAAUGUAGUUACUCGAAAAUCGAAUGAUAUGUUGACUGAAAUUGCGAACGUCACGUCGAAAUUUCAAGGUUUACAUAACCUAAGAAACACAACUAAGAGUCUAAGACAAGUUAGAACUUGAUACUAAGUCUAACAAAUUUGGUUUCUAAAGAGUCUCCAGGUCAUAUUAGAGUUGGCAUCACUGAACCAUGCACUUUUGAGACAUCCGCUUAAAUAUCAAGAUUUCACAUGUUGUUCAAGGAGAAACAUUGAAUUUACAUAAACUCCUUAGCAAAUCCUUACAGUAGUUCCCUUUGCGGUUUGAUAGCUUCAUUGGCUUUGUUAAUGAAACCAAAAGUACGAGGUUCGAUACUGGUACAAAGCAGCAACAACAAGAACAAACAAAUCCUCGCGGGUUAAAUGUGUUUGACUAUUCGAGAUAUAAGCCAGUUAAAACAAAUAUAUGUUUUUAGGUGGGUUGAAUUUUGCGACAAAAUCAUUAACCACAUGUUUCGUUGAUUUUCAGAAAAUAACUAUCAUAAAUGCACCAUCACGCACCACAAGUUUUUUUUUAUAAAUAAAUCACGAACAACAAUUAUUCAGUAAUUAACUACAAAUCGUGAUUUUUCAUCAGGCUAUCGAUUCGUAACUCAACCGUAUCAAUUUCCACCCCAAAUCGUAAUUAAGCAAAAAUAGAUAGAUGGUAAUCAAAAUUAGUCAUCAUUUUAAUCUCCAACAAACCAACUGAGAAAGCUAAAUUUAAUCAUACCUAAACCAAACAACAAUUCCUAUAAAUACCAACCCCAAUACACCAUUUUCCCUCAAGUUGUGUCUGUCUGCUUCUAAUAAAAGGAAGAAAAAAAAUACAAAUAAAGAGAGCAGCCAGGCACAUCUUCCCAAAAAAAAACUAAAAAAAAACGAUAGUAAGAAGAAUGGAGAAGAAGAGGGUUGUAUGUACCACCAUCGUCUUCGUUGGUGCCUUAAUGAGCGCAGUUUUGGCUGAUGAGCUGGCUGCUCCUGCUCCUUCUUAUGUAGGAGGGGCAGCUGGUGGCCCUACGACCGGUGGACCCGUCACGACAGGUUCACCUAUCGGAGAACCUAUUAGCGGCGCUGAUGUCGGCUCCUUGCCCUUCAUGGCUUUCUCCGUUGUCUCCACACUUGUCGCCUACAUGCUCAAUUAAAUUAUUAUUUGAUUAUGUAAUAAUUUGAUUUUAUCAGGAGUGGAUUGAAUUUCUUUGUACUUAUUGUUUAACUCCAUUUCUAAAUGAAUGAAUUUUUAUUUUAAUAUUUUUACUUUUAUUUGUGUCUAAUUCGAUUCUUGCUUCACAUACAUGCUUGAAUAUUUCUUUUAAAUGAAUGAUCAAGAACGAAUCUAAAAAGUGAUUGCCCUAGGUCA
rnacentral:lncRNA from 1 species